rnacentral:lncRNA from 1 species
AUGUGUGGGUUGUUUUGCAUACAUGCAAGCAUAGUGUUGUGUGUGUGUGAUGGCACUAGGAGUGCAUGUGUGGUUUAUCAUGUGUAGGAGUGCAUGUGUAGGUAUGGGUGCAUGAAGAUAUAUGUUGCUAGUUCAUGUGUGUAGAUGGGGUAUCCAUGUGGUGCAAGUGAGAAGCAUAUGUGGGUGUAUUUCCCAUGAGCAUGUUGGAUGUGAUGUAUGUGUGUGUUUGUGUGCUAUGUGUGUGUGUCUCACACAUGCCAUGGCCUGAAGUGCCAUGAUAAGCACAUGAGUUGGAUGGUGUAGGUGCUCUUAAGCUUAUGCUUGUUGUAGGUGUGUGGGUAUGGUGAUGUGCUAGGGCACACAUACAUGAGGUCAAAACCCUCAUGUUACCAUUGGCCUUGUGAGAGUGUGCAAUAGCUUGUGUAGGUGUAGCUCUAGUGAAUAGUACAUGUGAUGAUGCACUAUUCACUACAUGUGAUCCUAUGCAAGAUUUCUUUUCUAGUUUGUGCUCAUUUGUUACAUGCAAGUGCAUAGGUUUUAUAUAUGUUUUUGGGGUAGAAUCAUCCCAGGAAUCCAUUGGUGAAGUCAGUUUUUCCAUUGGAACACUUUCUGGAGAUGACUUAUUUCAGUUUUGUUCUAUGUUUGGAGCUUGGUUCCAUGAGAUGUGGUGAGCCCAAUAGUUUGAUUCUUGGUUGUGGCAGUAGAGGGUGACCCCCUCUACCACAUGUUGAUUUUGUUUCAUGCUUAGGAACCCAUAUGUGCAAGUUUGCCCAAUCAAAGUAGGCAUGUGGCUGAAAUUCCAGAUUAGUGAAAAUCUGUGAUUUUCACUAAGUCUGAGAAACUGCUUAUAUUUUCUUCUCCUGUUGAUGAGCUUGUGCGGUUCAAUGUGUUGUGAUUCAGCCUUAGCUUUCAACUGGGAAGUUGUAGCUUAUGUGUUUUUCUAGCUCCUUGUAAAUUUUCAUUUCAUUUGGAGUCCUCUAGAUAUUUUUUUGGGUGCUGUCAAAAUGCUUCAGAGCAUAAACAGCCAGUGAGAAUCUGGAAUUUUCACUAAGUCCGUGAAAACUGCUGUUUUUGUCCAAGUUAGCAGCUGUGUAACUUUCUGUGUGAAACUCCUUUGCAUUAUCUUUUUGCUUGUGCUUGUAGUACUCUUGGAUAGCUACUGUCACAUAUCUUAUUUGGCAUGUUUGGGUGGCUGUAGGUGCUUGGCAUGUGGCUCUCAAAGUGCUAUGAUGCUGUUUAGAGCAGAUUGUGAGCUACAGGGACUCAGCAAUCUCAUUUCCAAACGUAUCAAGACUAGGAAAGCUUAAUGGGUGAGGUAAGGUUAAGUGGUGAGGCUGCUGUAGCGACUAAGCAUUUAUUUGAGGUGUCUAACUUACGAGUACAAGAAUAAAAGAGGGGGAUGAUCUACGCAUAGAGGACGUGAAGUACUCAUGAUCAAAUGAAUGAUCCUGAACACCUACUUACGUCAGACAUGACCCCACCGUGUCCUCUUCCGGAUACAUAACUCGUGAGAAGAGACAGUCAAGGUUACGCACACAGUUGACAUAUAUUAAUGAAGUAGCCGAAACUAAGGUGACAAAGGUGGAACAAAACAUAAGGCUAGAAAGCUGAGCCUUCCACCUUUUACCAAGUAUAUAGGUCCAUUAAAUUAAUUAGCAAUUAUAUGGUGAUAUAACAAGAAAGCCAUGUUAUCACAUGGAAGCAACGACACAUGCAACUAGCAACGCUAGCGCAUGGUUAAGCAAGCGGUAACAUAGCCAAUGAGUGGUUUGCUAGGUUGUAGAAAGGUUGAAGGUUUCAUGGCAGUGUUGAGAGGCUGACAUUUAACAUGUGGCAGGCAACGAGACAUAAAGAAAGAAAUGAGACAACUAGCAUGGCAUUGAUAGUAAUGGUAUCUAGGGAAAUAGUCAUCUUACCUAAGAUCCUGCUCGGAAGAAGAACGAAUCCAUGAAGCAGACAAACCAACGUAGUCAAACGGAUCCUCACAUUCCAACACGCUUGCGGAACUCUAUCGAGAAGAAGCAAACCGGAAACAAGAAUCAACAGACAAUAUUCACCAUGGCACAUACACGAUAUGAUGCACAACCUAAUAUGAUGCAUGUCCAUUUCAAUUAUGCAAGGCAAGGCAUGGCAAUUCACAACAAUCAAACACUACACAUUAAGCGAAGCUCAAUAUGCAACGAGUUGCAUAUUGACGAAACUCCACAUACGAAUUAUUUAGUUCACUCCCUUUAGGUGCACGACAAUAUUAAAUGUUAUCUAAACAUGGAAAGAGGAGAAGUAUGUGAUUCUACAUGAUAUUCUACUCGGUUAACACCUAAGAACAUUGAACGGAGCUACAGUUAAAAGAUACGUACAACACAGGAUAUUAUGCCAUGAAUGCAACAUGCAUGCAAUUUUAUGAAAACACUGGCAAGAAGGAUAUGAAGCAUGUGUCGUCAUGGCAAACGAAAGGGAACCAUGGCAUCAAAAUGGAAACGAUGCCACAACAACGUUUCAGGCCCAAUAACUUGAUGAGAUACCGGUGCCAACGAAUUGGGAGCAUGUGCGUGUCAUCCUAGAGAAUGAUGGGGUGAUCCCGGUUACCGGGUUCCCAUGUGCCGGAGGCAUGAAUAUGGGGUACCUACAACUAACAUGGCAUCUACGAAUGACAAAACAAAGUCCUUGGUGGGUUGAUCAAAAUAAAACAAAACAAAUUAGGGGUGGCCUGGGAUUUGACCACCAAACACCUCGGGUGAGUGCUCGCAUUUGCAACCAGUUGGGGGUAGUUACUAGUUCUGAUUAAAAGGGAGCAUGGGCACAAUUUGAGCAACCUACAAAAGGUCGAUCUUAAAUCAUGGCAUGACGGAGGCUCUGCUGCUGAGAGGAGCACAUAGCGGCUGCUACAGCUCCAGUACGCCGGUGAGCGUGCGGAAGGAGGUUUGUCGUUGGCUGGGAGGCCUAGCUGAUGCUCGCGGUUGAUGCAGGCGAGUCAAUGCGCUGAGCCCGCUACAUCUGGAUCCAAGAAGGGGCGAGGUAGGAGACAGCAACACGGGACUUGGCACGGCGAUUCAGACAACAGGAAUGAUGCAGAUGCCGCUUAGACAAUGUCAGGGACGGAACGGAGGCGAGAUCCGACAGGUUAACGACGACGGCGUCGCUCCAUGGCAUCCUCGCGUUAUGCAUACACGAGAUAGAGAGAGAGUCGCGUCAGAAAAAGCCAGGGAGGAAGAUUAGAAAGAGAAGGGAGAGCUGGGGCACACGGUGACGUGCGGGGCUUCAGGCAGCGGAGACCUGUUGGCACGGCGGCCGACGGGGUCCAGUAAGGCGGGCCGACGUAGCUCAAGUGGUUGGCGCAUGGCUGCCAGGUCGAGCGCGAGGGAGAGGCAUGGCGCUGCGGCUUGGGUUGACAGCGGCUACACGGGCGCGAGCGCAGCUCCUGGGGGUCUGGCUGGUCACCGCGAAUGGCUGCGGCCUUCGGCGACGAGGGACCUCGGGCCCCGCGGAAACACAAGCGAAAGGCAGCCGCCUCGAUCCGAUCCGAAGCGAGCACUGCGGGAGGUGGAGGCAUGGGAAACUGGAGAGAGCCUGGUCUUUGGAUAACAGAUCUGACGGUCUAGAGGGGGAAUUGGAGGUGGUUGUGGAUUGGGUCGGGUGAUUUGGUAGGUGGAGGUUGCAGCUCGCGAUCCGAGGAGGGCCACGACAGGUUUGGUGGCUGUGUUGUUCCGGAAUGGGGCUGGGGCUAGGGCUAGGGUCUCAUCUGAAAUUCAUAUAUGGUGGCCUAUAUAUAGGGAAAAGAAACUACCUCAGGACCCUUCGAUCGUAAUUGAAUGGUCGCAGUUAAAUAGGUUAGGGGUCCAAUGGACAAAUCGAAGAUGGUUUGCGGUACUAUGGGGUUGAUCCGGACCUAACGGUUACAACCGCCGUGUUCGGGUCCGGGAGGAGUUUCCGGACUAGGUUGCAGGCAGAGUCGAUGCAUUGUCCACAGGGGCUAGGCGGGGAUGAGAGGGAAAACAGGCAACCCAGCGACAUAUUUAUCCUGUAGGAAUAAUCUAAAAACCAAUUUUAAAAUAAAAGAAAAAGGGGUUCAGCCCCUGGCCUAGCUCGGCCAGGAGCUCGGCUAGUCCAGCUGGCCAAUCAGCCAACCAACCAACCAGCCAGCACAGGCGUGACACGCGGGCCCCUGUGGUCAGCGAUAGAGAGGGGGAGAGGGGGAGAGACUGGCCACCGACAGGUGGGACCCCCCUGUCGAGGUCGUCUUCCAUCUCCAGACAGAGAAGAGGGAAGGCACGCCGGCGGCGACUCCGACAUCCUCGUUGCCAACUAAGCACAAAAACAAGCUCGUGGCAUCUCCGCCUACCUGGUGGGGUUCGAGAGAACGACGGGGAGGGCCUGCGUCACCGGCGACGACGAGACCAUGGUGGAGGAGCUUAGGGUUGUGGUGGAGGAGGGUGUUCCGAGCGGAGAGAAGUUCGAGGGAGUGGUGGAGAAGAUCUCUGAGCUCACUACGAUCACUAGGAAGGCGAGAGCAGCUCGAGAGCGGACAUGUAGCCCGAGAUCGAUGGAGCUCCGACGGGGCGGCGCCUCGGUUGAUCUCAUGCACCGGGGCUCUCCUUUCUCAAAUGGUAUUCUAGGGGAUCGACUUGAGGAGGGGAGGAAAGGUGUGAGGUGCAAGAAUGAGGGGGUAGGCCUAUUUAUUGGCUGGCGAUGGGGCACCGAGUGGGGGAGCACCGGUGGUUUUAGCCACGGCUGGAGGAGAGGGAGAGAGGACUCGUGGCCGAAAACACGGUUUACGACCGUGGUUUAGGACUUUCGCAGACGCAACGGCAGGAGCGGGGGAGGCUGUGUAGGCGUGCUACGGGGCUGCGUCCUCCUGACCGAAUCGGGCUCGCGUGGGCACACGUUGCCUGCGUCAAUGGAAAGUGGGGAGAAGGGGCCCUGAGGCUGCCCUGAGUCGGGUCUUUGUUGGGGGUGAGGAGAGGCAUCGUGGGGAGGUGAGAACCGGCCCGGGCUGGCCUCCCUAGCCUCGGGUGCGCUCUGUAGCGUGUCAAGAGCGCAGCUUUGGCAUGCCACAACAUGCUGGUGCGGUCUGGCCUGCUUUGGCUUUGUCUGGGGUGUCUGUGGGGUGGUUUAUAUGCCCUCCAGUUGCUAGGAAACGAAAGAAGCAGUGCUGGUCAAAGGGGGGGGGGGUUCUUAAAGAGGUUCUGCCAGCAUUGUACGAGGAGCUAAAUUGGGGUUUUUGGAUCACUUACUUUGAACUAGUAAGGGGCCACUCGUCUAAAGUUGAGGAGUGGUGCUGGCAGUUUGUGCAACGAGUUUGGAGUGAAGGGUGUGUGUGUACAGAGUGCUAGAUGCUAUUUGACCAAUCUGGCUAAAGGUGUUUGACUUGGGUUUGGGGCAGCUAACCUUCACCAAUGAUGCUCAAAGUUAACAGGAUUGUGUUUUAGGCAAAAUUAGGAUGCUCUACCUUAUUUGAGCUCCAUUGGACAAGUUUUGUAGUGUAAACUUGAAAACGACCCAAAUGGACAGUUCUGCUUUAUUAAAAGAAAAUAUGAGCAAAUUAAUCCUUACAAAUCCAAUUAUUUGCACGAUCUCCUCAUUUUGGGUAUUAAGCACUCCUGCAAAGGUUUAGGCCAUUUAGACAAAAUUUGCUAUGUAGAGUGCGUGCAAUUUGAUUCUAGACAGGAAGGGUUUUAAGAUUAUUUGGUGAACCAGGCACCUUGGAAUGAGGUGAAAUUCGGUAUGCCCAUCAAAUGUAGCUUGGGGAGCAUGCUCGCACUUUUUGGGAAAUUAUUGAGAAUAUUUUCUUUGAAAAUAUUUCAAAAGGUCAAAAUAGACAGAAUGGGUUUUCAAAGGUUUCCUCAGAUAUAUUGAACAUAAAUAGGGGUUGAAAAUCUUAUGUAUGGAAACCAUAUGUCCUUUGAGUAUCUCCAAAUUUUGUUAGAUUUUUCUAAGGUAGAAAAAUAAUUUUCCCCUCAGAAAUAUGAUUUCUGGCCUUAGAAAAGGACAUGCUAAUAAAAUAGAAACUUUUUUUAUAAAAUAAAUAUUUUAUGAUUUUAGAGAGUUAUAAUAGUUCUAGAAUCAAAAUACAAUCUUUGGGUGAAGGCACCCCCUUGAAAUCAGGGACUUGUAAUGCAAACCCCAUAGCAAGGUUUUGAAUUAACAAAAAUGGGAAAAGGAUUUUUAUGAAAAUAUUAUAUUAUAAAAAUUAUUUUUAGAUCCACACAUUCAAGCAUACAUACAAUCAAUGUCAAUCAUGGCACUCAUAGCAUUUGCUUAAAAAGUUUUAACUAAAUCCAAAUUCGAAAGGACAAGAGGAUAGGCAAAGUGAAAACAAGGUGUGACAACACGCGGCUGCGACGUCAUUAAAAUAUUGUUUUAAAAAGUGCGCAUAAAACUUUCAUUAAUUGGGUUGAAAGUUGGCGUGCGAUCUUAUUAUCAUAUAGGUAGAUCCCUUGCCAAAUUUCGUCGCAAUCGGGGUCCGUUUCAUACUCGAACCGUUAAACAACACUAUAGCGUGUCAAAUUGCACAUGUUUCGGUAUUCUAAACUCUAUCGCCGGGCUGCCUGUUUUUCCUCUCUUUUCAUGUCUCGCCUAUCUGUACAAUAACCCCACCUCCCCGCAACUUAGUCAUAAACUCCCCGUGGACCCGAACCGAGCGGUCAUGAUUGUUGGGUCCGGAUCAACCCUAUAAUACUCAAACCGUCGUCGGUUUUUCAUUUGGACUUUCUAACCAAUUUUUUCGACCACCAAAUCAAGAUUGGAGGGUCUAAACAUAGCCAAACCCUACUAUUUAUAUAUGAAAUCUAGAACUAAUCCUAGCCUACCCAGUCCCAUCCGUCUCUCUGUUCGCCUCCGCCGCUCCCUCGUCCUGCCUCGGUUUCCAGAUCCACCCAAGCAGAGCCUCCCUCGGGAUCCCCUCGCAGCCAACCAGUGCUCAGCGUCACCUCCUUGUAUGAUCUUAUACACACGCUCGAGAGAAUCCCGAGGCCUCCGAGACGAAGCCAAAAGCGCCAUUGCUGGAGGUCCAAGCCACGGCCACCUCUCCUCCAGAAGACCAGGGCCGCGUGCCCGAGCGCCGCUGCUGCCGUGCGCCUCCCACCUCGCCAUUGUCAUUCGCCUCAUUGGAGAAUGGACCUUGUUAGAUCCAUUGACACCGGUGAUCACCUCCAGCAGGCCCGUACCACCCCUUUAUUUCUCCGUCCUGUCUCCCUCCCUCUAAUUCUUUCACUGUCUCUCUCUCUCAAUUUUCCCCUCUCCAUGUGUCUCUUGUUUAGGAACACAACCAUGGCCAAAGCUUCAAUGCACUGCCCCGCUUUGUCUCCGCCCCAAUGGAGCUCCACCGCAACCCUUGCCUCGGAUGCGCCUGAUUCCUCCUGGCCCCAUUGCCAUGACGCCCGUGACAUCCUCUUCUGCAUCGCGAUGACCUGAUGUUGCGUCUAUUCUUGAGGCAACGGGCAGCAGCAGCUCGGCUGUUGACCAUGCCCUGCCGCGUGGACCCACCCGUUCCAACCAGUGCCAAGGCCCAGCAGUGCCCAACUCCUUCUCGUGCAGCUAUCCAAUAUCAGCAUUGCCAUGGCCGCUGGCCUCUGUCUCCCUGUCGUGAGCCCCAUAACUGAAACUUCAGCAUUUCCUAGAUCUAUUCUCGUAUAUAGAGGUUAAUUAGGAUUGCCGCUCUAUUUAUCCACAAGAGCUUCGAAGCCCAGCUGGUUAGCUCGUUCUCGGUUCAAUUCCCGCGUGCACUAAUAUUUUGCCUAGGUUUUUUAUUUAUUUGCACAGACAUAUACACACCCGCAUGAGCCAAGUUAGUUCUUUUUUGAGCCAGAUUUGUAUUUUUCUGCACUGAGAUAUAACACUUAUUAAUGGCCAUGCAUAGUUUAAAAAAACACUGUUUUAAAAUUGUUAAUAUCUAUUUAACGUUCAUCUGAUUAAAAUGAAUUAUACAUGGAAAAUGUUCAGAAUUUCGUGUAGAUUUAUAAUAUCCAACUCUCACAUGUGUUUAAGAUAUUUACCUUGCUCUUUUCACUUAAUUUGCACAAAUGCCAUGUUGAAAUGAUUUAAUUCAUAACUAAUUAACGUAGCUUCGAUUAAAAUGUUUCAUAUAUGUAACUUGAUUAGAACAAUGUGUAGGAUAACUUGGUGACAUUUAUUUUGCUGUUUAAAAACUAAAAAAUUGUGUUAUAGGUAGAAAAUUACGAAAAUCUUAAUUGGCAUAUGGGGAUUUCCGGAACUGAUAUUCCUUGUUCUGGCCUCAAUUAAAAUUGCCUAGAAUUUCAUGUAGUUUCACAAUAUCUCGUUCAUCAUGUUUUAACAUGCUUGUGACCGUCAUUUGCAUACAUUUUGCAUUCAUGGCAUAUUAUCUUGUGUUUCUCAUAUCUUUUGGACCAUAGACCUGUUUAAAUAAUUUAUAUAUGUAAAUCAACUAGAAAUACGUGUAGAAUCACAUGGUCCACUUUAUUUUGUUUUUUAAUAAAUAUAAAAUGUGUUUAGUUCAGAUCUGGAGUUUUUUUUAAAUUAACAUAUGAGGUCAUUUCGGAAAUGCUAUAUGUUGUUUCUGACCUCAUUUAAAAUGCCUAGAUAGUGUAGUUCAUUUAUGCUUCACGUCUUGCCAUGUUUAACAACAUUUAACAUUGUCGAGUACCUAAACGGUGGUGAACUAAAUAAUUCAAAUGUGGAGUUUGGUCAAUAUGCAACGAGUUGCAUAUUGAACUUCAUUUAAUAUGUACUGAUAAAUUGUUGUGUUUUGUCAUGUCGUGCAUAAUUAGGUGGACAUGCAUCAUAAUUGCUUGCACAUCAUGUCAUGAAUAUGUUGUGGUGUUUAUCAUGUGUUGAUUGUUUGUAUCCAAAUUAUUUCUUCUCAAUAGAGUUCGGAACCACUUCGAAGUGUGAGGAUUCAUUCGACUACGUUGGUUCGUCUGCUUCACGGAUUCGUUCUUCUUCCAAGCGGGAUCAGAGGCUAGAUGAUCAUUUCCCUAGAUAUCACUACUAUCAUUGCUAUGCUAGUUGUCUCGUUUCUAUAGCUAUGUCUCGCUACCUACCACGUGAAUGUCAGCCUCCCAACAUUACCACUAAAAGUCUCUAAUCCCUCCACAUUCUAGCAAAACCUCUCUUUGGCUAUGUUACCGCUUGCUCAGCCCUUCUUAUAGCGUUGCUAGUUGAAGGUUCUGUUGCUUCCAUGUGAAAACAGGGAUUUCCUGUCAUAUCACCAUACAAUUGAUAUUUAAUUUAAUGCACCUAUAUACUUGGUAAAAGGUGGAAGUCUUGGCCUUCUAGCUCGGUGUUUUGUUCCAUCUUUUCCGCCCUAGUUACUUCUGUACCAGUGUUAUGUUUCAUAAUUGAGCGCUCCUAACAUGCUUGGGGUUGUUAUAGGGACCCCCUAGUCCCUAGAUUUUUGUUUUGGGAUAAAACUCGUCUGGCAAGGCCCAACAUUGGUACUAUAUUUCCCCAACAUAAUAAUAUUGAUCAUCGUUAUUAAAACAUAGGGCGUCAUGAACCCGAGGAGUAAUUCAACAUAAUACAGGGAGGUCCAGUGCCGAUGGUGCUGGUCCUAAAUAGAGUAUUGUGCAGGGCCAACCCAAGGCAACGUAUCUUGUUGCCAGGACAUGACGGAUAAGGUACAUGUACGGAGGACUGAUAUAAAUCACCCAGGUUGAGGGUUUCCACCAGGAAUCCGAGGAGAUCAUGCGUUUUCCGUGGUCGAGGUUUCCAAUGUGGCUUGUGGUAGUUUGUGAUGGACUAGUUGGAGCAUCUAUGCAGGGUAAAAUCUUUCUAAGAGCCGUGCCCGUGGUUAUUGGGCAACUUGGAAACUUUGUUUAACACCUACUCAUAGCAAACUCGAAGUAAAUUUAAUUAAAAUAUGCGAACUGUGUGUGUAACCGUGAUUGUCUCUUCUCGUGAGUUCUUAUCCAAGAGAGAACACGGUGGGUGUAUGUCUGACUCGUAAAUAGUUGUUCAAGAUCACUUCGACAUUAUUGUUAGUUCAUGUCUGAUUAUGCAUAGAUCACCCCCUCUUAUUCAUGCAAUCGUAAGUUAGCCACUCAAAUAAAUGCUUAGUGCUUGUUGAAGCCUCACCACUUAACCAUACCUUACUCGUUAAGCUUUGCUAGUCUUUAUACCAUUGGAAAUGAGAUCGUUGAGUCCGUGUGGCUCAGAGAUUACUACAACAACAAUUGAAGGUACAGGUAAAGUGAUAUUUUGAUGUGAGCGUGAUGAUUAUUCUUUUUGGUUUCUUCUUCUUCUUCUUCUUCAUCUAUCUAGGAUAGGUUCCAAGCCGACAGCCUUGGAUAGCAAGGAUGGACGUCAUCUUUCAUCAUUUGAUUUCAUCCGUAGUCGGACCCUCCUCUUCUACAUGAUGUUUGAAUGUAUUUUUGUAUUGAAAUGUUAAUGAUGUAGCUUGUGGCGAGUGUAAGCCAAUUUCAUAUACUCAUCUCUUCUGUACAUGUACUUGUAACAAUAUCCCUUCUUGCAAAACGGCGAGAUGCGCUUCUCUGCUUGUCGAGUCUGUGGAGCCAAAAUAAGGUUUGGAUCGCAUAUUGGGCAUUACAUCUGGACAACCUCUUUUCUCCUCUCUCUCUCUCUCUCUUCUCUCUCUCUCCUGGCUAGCUUCCAGAGCAUCCCAUUCUCUCUCCCCCUUUGUAUAAUCCCCCUGUAGAUAAAGGGCACUAGUGGCUGCGCCAGAGCGCGUCAAGGCCAUCAACAUGCCGGCCAAAAGCACACACUAGAGCGCGCUACAGGACAUCCGAGCGCUGAACUUGCUCCAUGCACAUCCCCUGGCCACCUCGAUCCCCUCCCCUCGCGCCAGUCGAGUCCCCUCGGUGUCCGCGAUAUGCCAGUGUGUCGGGAGCCGCUUCUCUAUCUCUCACCACUUGUAGCAUGUGCCCGAUGCCGCCCUGCUCGACCAAUGCGUGAGCUCGCACGCGCGCACACCACCACCUUCCCUCUUGCUUCCCUCGGUCAUAGAAGACUCCCAGUUGCAACCUCAGCUCAAAACUGAGCCCUCCCGUGGCCUCCAUCACCUCCCUAACCAACUCCGGUGACCACGCCCACGAUGCACCGACGCGUGGCUAUAUAAGUUCUUGCCGAGAUCCUCUCUCCCAUCUAGACUCCCUAUCCAUCUCUCAAUCGAGUGCCAGAACCACCCAAGCCUCCCCUCGAGAUCUCUGUGGUCGAGAUCUAUUGGAGCUCUGCCGUGGCGGGCCACCGAUGAUCUCCACGUACGACCGCUCUCCGGCCCUCCUUUCUUCUCCUGCAAACCUCCCUUGCCUCCCUGGCGUUUCCCCCUCUCUCCCACAUGGAUUGCAGCAGGGAACUUGGGAUUGCAGCUCGCCCGAUUCUCUUUCACUGCGGCCCCUUCGUCACCGGUGAAUCCGGCCACCCCAGCACCUCCCUCGACCUCAUCAAGAACAAAGCGACCUCCUGAGCCCAUUCCUGCACCCACUUCUCCUCUUCGUGCCCCGGAGCACCACCGGUAAGUGCCGCCACCUCCUUGGCUGGAGGUUGACGAUGGCUUGCCAGUGGGUCUGUCCAUUAGCCUCUUGUUUCUCCCCCUCUCUCCUCAUGCCACUGACCGCUCAGCCCCACGCAUUAGGUUUAAACCCGAUGGUUCGGUGCGCCUAGCUCGCUCGGUCUAGGUUCGCUGGUUGGGUCGGCUCGGCUAUGCUGGCUCUGGCGCAAAGGCACUUUAGCUUUUAUCUUUGACCCUUUUGUCAAUAUUCCAAAAUUCCCUUUGGCUAAAAUAAAAAUCCAAAUCAAGUAACUCUAAUUUCUAAGAGUGCCCCUUGUGCAAUUUUUGAAAAGAGAUGUAGACAUUGUUUUAUUUAAAUACAUUGUUAAAGCAUUUUAACUUUCUGUUAAAUUCCUUUUCUUAAAUUUUUACACUUAAAAACUAAAACCUAAUAAUUUUUGAAGUACUAAUACUGACUCUAGUAUUUUACAAAAAUAGGUUAACAUUUUUCCGAGUGUUAUAUUUUCCAUGUUUUCGUUGUAGCCUUAUGUUUGCCCAUUAUAUUGCAACGAGUAUAUUGUGUGGUUGACAAAGAGCUUUGAAAAGAAGGAUUUCAAGACCCCGUGGACUUUGUUGAGCUAGGAAAGCACCCCUUUGACCAUGACCAUGAACCCAUUUUAUGCAUGUCAUAUGGCACUUUACUUUGUUGCAUCUGAAUCAUGUUCAAUCAUUGAUCCCUUUGGUGGGUUGUCUCUUAUAUUUCCUCGUUGGUACUUGCAUUGCGCAUGACCCUACCAUCCUAUGGGGGUUGUGUGGGUGGGAAGUAGAUAGGAUGCUAAAGUACUUGCCAAGCAAAUGGGAUGGGAAACAUGCAUGGUGUCGGAAAGGAAAUGAUUUCAAAGACCUUUCGAAAACCCCGUCGGGUACCACUAAUGACCGAGGAAGAUGGUGCUGAGCUUGGUAACCACUUGAGUAAGAAUUGGGUAUGAGGAAAGUCAGUGUGUUAUUUUAGAAAACGAAUUGGUUUAAGUUGCGACCGUUACUCCAACCUUACAUGUACGACUACGAUACCCCUUAUGGGGUGUGGCUUUAUUGAUUACUGUGGUCGGCACUAGCUGAGAGCCUGCAUUAUUAGUGGCAGGAGUGAUGUGGUCACUCCUGAUACGAGGUUGUGCUCGAAUGGACGACCAUGGGCUAUUUUCACACACACCGAGCACACCGUUGUGUUCCCUCGUGGAGGAUACCUGUGAUGUACAUCAUGAUGGAUGGCACCAACGAGUGGACUCUUGGUUGGUAUCGUCAUGUGAAAAGUAUUAUUCGGGUACUUAUUUCGGGUAUGGAAAACACAAUGAGUCGUGGAUUGACAAGGAAGUUUCUCGAGUCUUGUGGGUAAAUCGUGCAACUUCUGCAGAAUUUAAAACUAUUUGAAUAUUCGUGUCCACGGUCAAGGAUAGUUGGAUGACCGUUCUUGCGCUACGUCCAUAAGUUUUCACAACUUGGUGUGUCUGUGUGUGAGAUAGAUGAUGGUGUGAUACUUGAUCUAAGUCAGAUGACUUGGCAUGAUGAGUGAACAUGUGUGGGGACCCCGACUUACAAGUUGAGAUUGCCGAACGAACGUGCUCAGUGAUCCCAGGGAUCAAUGCUCACCGAACACACAUAUACUGAAUAUUAAGAGGCUUACAUCCAUACGUACCGUUUGAUACAAUAAAUGAACUUAUCGGUCAAGUCUUACACAUAUAGGGCCUUGAGGGCCAACACACCAAACUGGACUAAUAGCGGAAAUAUUGGUCGAAAGCGUGAACCAAUGCCAUCAGGCUUAACCUACAUGCAUUUUGACUGGGAAGCGUCCUAGCUCGCAAGAACAUCACCAAGUUACUAUUCACCAUAGCAUGUUCUCUCAUACCUAGUCAAUGAAAUAACCAGUGGCAAGCCAAUGAGUACUUUGAAUGUACUCGCAAACAACCCAUGAUAUGGAAAAUGUAGUUGGUAUUGUAACAAGUAAUAUGAAGUAUUGGUGGAUAGCAUCUUAACUAUAAAUAAACAUGAUCAUGUGUGUGCAACAUAAGCUAGGUGGUAUUUAGAAGAGCAGGUUACAGAUAUCAAUAUACCUGUCAAGGGUUGAACACUCCGGGUUCACCCGAUAUGCCAAGUCACCAAACUUGGUCAUAUCAACUCUUUCUUAGGUAUCACCAUUAAACACACACACACACACACACACACUCACACUUGGUUUAUGCGGAAACAGCUGGACGUAGUUUAAGCCAGAUUAUCCAACUGUCCUUCACCGUGGACACGGCUAUUUGAAUAGUUUUACACUCUGUAGAGGUUGUACGCUGUGCCCACAAGAUCCGGGAAACUUCCGUGUCAUCCACGACUCACGGUAUAUAACAUACCCGAGGUAAGUACCCGCUCAAUGUGUUUCCCCUGACUUUACUAGACAAAGAGAUCCACUCGAUUGGUACCCAACCCACAUGAUGUACGUCUUAUGAGCAACGACUCUGAAUAGUAUCAUCCAUGCGGGGACCAACGGUGUGCCCGAAACACGUAAAACGACAUAGUCGCCCUACCUGGUACGUCCCCAUCAUGAGAGUGCCACACAUCACUCCCACCACUAGUAAUGUGGUUCUUUGCUAGUGUCGAUCAGAGUAAUCAACAAAGCCUCGUCCCAUAAAGGGGUAACGUGGUCGUACAUGUAAGGUUGGGACGGUCGACACAUCAUAAAUCUAUUCCCAUUUCCGAAACCAUACACACACAAAAUACCCCGUGCACCACUUCACCAAAAGUGGCCACCUAACUCAUCAUCACCCUGGGACAUUAGUGGCACCCAACGGGGUUUUCAUUAACCUUUGAUAUAUAACAUCAUCAUGCUCAUUCUUCCACUAUGCUUAGCUCUACUUGUCAACAUGACAUUAGCGUGACCCUCACAGGUGAUAGGAUCAUGCUCAAAAUGCAAGUGCUCCAGAGGAGCCAUCGGGAAUAUCACUUCAAUGAUUUACCGAUACUUAUGAUCACAUGCAACAGAAAGAUUUGUUCUACUUAGCAUCCAAUAUAAUAUAUGCUCAAACAUGGUCAAAGGGCUUUUUUCAUUGAUCACAUAAGUCCUCUGGGGCUUCAAGGUCUUCUGGUCAAACUCCGAGUACUUUGUCUACUCCGUCAACUAAAGUCGGAAACAACACAGUAAGCCAACAACAAUCAGAAACAAAAUGCUACAAAAAUGGAAUGUUAUAUUUUCCUUGGACCUAUCUGGUCAUAAGAAAAAUACUUGAAACUUGCUAUAGGAGAUUUGGAUCAUCAGGGAAUUUUGAAUGGAAGAAAGGAGGAAUAGCUGAUGGUAAAAGAAACCUACUGAAAACAUUAUGAUAAAAAUGAGUGGAGACACUUAUUUAACAAAGAGCAAUUUUAGAAACAUUUAGAAAGUUGUUUCACUGGAUUUGGAGUUGAGGUGAAUAUUCUAUGGAUUUUCUAAUAUUGGACAAAUCGCAAAAGAGGGCUAUUUAUUUAUGGCAACAGAAAUAAGUCAUACAAAAAUGUUGACCAAGGCUUCAAAAAUAGGAUCUGAUAUAAGAAGGAUCUGAAAUUGGAAUCACUCCAUUUGGAGUUGAUUUGAAUCCUCUAGGAUUUUUGAAAGGGGGUUUAGAAGCACCCAAAUAUGUAUUUAAAUAUAAAUACAUCAUAAAAGUUGUUUGGAAAAAUGUGCAAAGCACACCGCUGGAUAAACCUUGAUUUUAGGGACCUGUAGAAAUUUGAAUCAUUAAUUUUGGAGCUCAAAUGGUUUAACUAAAUAUUUUUCAAAUGUCGGGACCCCGAUCCUAAGCCAUAGGAAUCCAGCCUGUAACACAUUGCAUCCCUUUGCGGUCUCACGCACGGUUAUCCCCACGGCUGCCACCUUACCUUAGCCGGGACCGUUUGGGCCUUUUGAUCAUGUAUGCAUUAGUGUCGCUAGCAUUCCAAUGUCAAAGAACCCGGGUCGACAUAUCUUGUCAUAAACUCAAGUGGCUCGUCUGUACACAGAUAGGCAUACAUAACCCAGCAAAGCAGGUGUCGGUCAACAAUGAGUGUAGACAAGUCGUACCAAGCUACCAGGACUCCAUUACACCGCGUGACAUUUCCCCGUAGGGACAGACACAACAACUAAGAAGGAUACAUGCCGGUCAACCAAUGUGUCCGGAGCAGUAGUGAACUACCAAGGCUCGGUGGAAUCACAAAGGGGCAUUUCUCUGUAUAGAAAUAUACUAAGGCAUACGACUAGGUGUCGAAUGCCAUACAUAUCACAGUGCAUCACACGUACGCAUGACAUACUAGAUAUGCAUACAUACAACAAUGGCAUCACAACAUAACCAUAGAACAUCACGACAUUUAUUUAGAAGACUCGGAAGAGUCUUGCACAAUAUGUUCAUACAAGCAGGGGUCACACGACCCGACACUCAUAGUCAUACAAACAAGUCAUACAAACCAACGGAAGCAUAAAAGCUGUAUGAGUACACACAGUUGAAAGGAUAAGGCAUAAAGCCUGACUAUCUACAUAUCCCUUCUGAAAGGGGCCAGGUCGUAGCUGGGACACCAACUACCCGUCAUCAUCGAUGUCUAGAAAGAACCCACAUGUUGGCUCAUGGGUAUCCUCUGCAACAAUUAUUAAGCAAACACGAGUACAAGAGUACUCAGCAAGACUUUAGAACAAAUCUAUCUACUCAUGCUCACGUAUCAACAAAGGGGUUGUGGUGUUUCAUGCAGCAAGCCAGCUUUGACUCUUGGCUAGACAGCACUACGUUUUUAAAUAGUUUUGACCACUUUGUUUUCUCGCACACGAGUCCACUAACUCCACAACAAUACACCUUCAUGGAAUCAUUCCUGUCUUCCUAUGGAAAUGCCAUCCACGACACUCACAAUUAUCUUGAUACUUUUAUGAGUAGCCAUUAAUGUUGUCUAUGAACAACAUAUGUUUCCAAGUAGUCCAUAUCCGCGGACGUGGCUAUUCGAAUAGAUCAUAACCCUGCAGGGGUGUACUUCAUCACACACGCUCUCGCCACUUAUCGCUAUGUGCACCUCAUGCACCUCGGCAACCUUCAAGCAGAAGCCCAGCGAGGGAAUCAGCCACGACCAUUAACCACGCUAAUACCUAGUCCAGGUUUACCGCCUAUUUGAGAGUAACCCGCACGGAAGUCCAGCCGAGGUUUCUGCCACGGCCCCAAACGAUGUACACAUGGUUCCCAAGCCCACCAUCCGGGUGCCACUUGGUACACCGUGCCACUGCCUACCGCAUCAUAGCCCACCUCUAUGGUCAGCACUAUGCACGGCCUCCAGCAUGACUAUAAACACCAGAAACAAAGUAUCUCGUCUUGGAUUACAUACACGGAACUCAUAUUUCAGGGCCAAGCAUGUGGUAGUAUCUCGUCUUGGAUUACAUACACGGAACUCAGUUCCUAAGGACGGUUCCAAUGAAACAACCCGCUAUGUACUCCUACAUAGCCUUUCACCGGUACCUCUACCAAACCAGGUUCAACACACAACCUUUAUUAAUAGAACACAUUCUCACGAUCAUGUUCAUCACCCAGAUGACAGACCAAACACAACUCUAAGCAUAGCAUGCAUAUCAGGAUAAGGCACAUCAUGGCUCAAGCAUCUACCAGGUAUGCUAGGUUGCAUGGUUUUAGCUACUUACUGUGACCAAGACAGGUCAUGCAAAGGAAUGAGUUCAACUAACGUGGUAAAAGCAUUUGAAGCAUUUUGACCUAAUGCAAUAAAUAAGAGCAGGAGCGAGAACAUCGGAUUUAUCGGGAUGAUCAAAAUUGUUGCUUACCUUGUUGCUCAGCAGAGGGGUAAUAUCCGUCAGUCGGAUAAUCAGUCGUAUCCGGAGGGGUGGGGCCUACCGAAUAAAAACAUACAAUUAAUAGCAAUCAUAUGCAAAAAUCAUGAUGCAUGAACAUGGCAUGAAAUGAAGGGUGAUAUGAUUCAGUGUGGUUGGUGAAACCUUAAUUUGCAUCUGGUUUGAAAUCCUAAUUCAAAUAUCAUUUGAAAUGGCAUAUUUAUCUUAAUAAUUUAUUGAUUUGACCUGAUGCUGUUUCAUAACUUUGUUUUUCAUGCAUGAAAGUAGCACCAUUCUCUUCAUUGAAUUUUUCGGAUGAAUUUGCAUAUAUUAUUUGUCUGAUUUGGAGUUAUAAUCAAAUUUCUAUGAGUUUCCAAUGUUUUGAAAUUAUUCUGGAACUAUUUUAAGACGAGAAUUAGACUUAUUGCAUCAGCAUGACAUCAACACGUCAGCUGGCCGUUUGAAAGUCAAAUCUGACGAGUGGGACCCACUGGUCAGUGACUCUGGCAGCUUUAAAUUAAGUUUAAACUUAAUUAGGUAAUUAAUAGAGCUGGACCCACAUGUCAGUGACUGUUUAGGGUUUAACAAAUUCUUUAUUUUUAUUUUUAUUAAACUUAAUUAACCAGGUGGCUGGCCCCACUUGCCAGUGACUCAGGGGAGUCAACCCCACCGGCGAUGGGGUCAAACCCAUCGGCGGCGAGGCUCCGACGACCACCAGAACGGCGGAGGGCCUCGAGUUUUCUAUUCCGACGACUAAACGCAAGGCGGAAGGCACCAGAGGAACGGUUGUUCGAGCGCGGUUCCAUUUUUGCAAGGAACAGGGCUAAUAUGGCCAGAGAUGAUGCCGGCGACGAGCUCAGCGGCUGCCGGAGUUUGGGUUGCGACGAGGUCAUCGAAUCCGAGGGCAAAUCACGCGGGGUUGGGAUCCUAGAGCAUCUACGCGAUGCACUGUAGCUACCGGUGGCCUCAGAAUGACCAACCGAUCACCGGAGAGCUACUGGCGACGAGCUCCCGCGGCGGAUCUCAUCGGGCUCCGGUGGAAUCGGGGCCUAGACCACGGGAUCGAAGGGGAAAACGUGGGGGAAAUCUUCCUGGGCUAACUGGGAUUGCAGAGGCGUCGAGAUCAGGCUCGGAAGAGGACUGAGGUGGGAGAACGACGGCGGCGAGCUCCGGGGAUCUGAGGUUGAAGAUGAUGGCGUCAUGACGUCUCAGGUGUUCUCGGCGUCGAGCAGCUAGCUGGAGAACUUCAGGGGACUAUGGCGAUGCUUUUGCGCAGCUCAGGCAGGAGGGAGAGGGGCUGGAGCAACGGCAAGCUCGAGCUCAGCUCGAGCUCUAAUGGUGACCAAGAGGGGAGAGAACAGGGGGAGGAAUGAGGAGAGGAUGAGCUCGGGAGGAGGUCGCGGGAGGUUAUCCCUUCCUUGCUAGCACGAAACGGCGGCCAGACAUGCACAAGGAAGACGACAGGGCGAGCUGGGCUGGUCCAAGGGUGAGUGACAGGUAAGUUUUUUUCUAUAUUUUUUAAUUUCUGUUUUCGGUUAAAGCAUUUCUCACUUUGUUUCAUUUUAUUUUUGGCUCCAAACUAUUCCUAAAAUAGAUUGAAACACGCUAGGGUGUUAUUUGGAAUAUUUCCAAACACAUAUAAAGUUUUCAACAUUUUUGGAAACUUUGGAUUAUUUGAAAUCAAUUAUUUAGUUGAUUUCACUAACAUUUGAAUUUAAAAUAAAAUGCCAAAAGCAUUUUCAAAAUAAAUUUCACCCCUGAUAUUUUGUUUUCAACAUUUAUCGGAAGUGAUGAACUUUUAUGAUGGCCAUUUUGGGUUCAUUAAUUUGCCACCAAAUUUGAAUUGCUUUUGAAUAUAGAGUUGCUAGGGUUUGCUUUUGAUUUCAUUUCAUUUUCUUGGACGCAAUGAAGAAGACAUGAGCACAAUCUUGCUAAAGUCUAUUAGGGAUUCAGGGAUGUGACAACUCACCCCCACUGAAAAGAAUCAUGUCCCGAGAUUUGGAAGUCGUCGGGAAUAGCGCGGGAUACUCAAGUCGUAGACGAUCCUCUCUUUCCCAUGUUGCCUUUUUUCAGAAUGAUUUGACCAUUGAAAUUUAAGAAACUUGAGGUUUCGAUGUCGAGUGGUACGCUCAGCUUGAUCAAGAAUAUGAAUAGGGUAUUCUCGCUAUGAAAGGUUAUCUUGGAGAUCAUGCGUUUCGUGGUCCACUUCACGGAUAGGAUCCGAAAAGCAAGGUCUGAGUUGCGAGACGUGGAAUACUUCAUGAACCUUGGAAAGAUGCGGAGGAAGUUCCAACUGUUAGGCAACUUCUCCUCGUUUGGCAAGAAUGCGAAAAGGACCGAUGUAACGAGGAGCCAACUUGCCCUUGAUACCGAAACGAUGGGUACCCUUCAGAGGUGUAACCCGAAGGUAAGCCUUCUCGUCAACUUCAAAGGUCACAAACUUAUGAUGACGAUCAUAUUGGCUCUUUUGACGGGACUGGGCUAUUUUCAACUUUUCACGCAUAAUGCGAACUUGCUCUUCUACUUCCUGGAUCAUAUCCGGACCAAAGAGUUGCCUCUCUCCGGUUUCUGACCAAUUAAGAGGGGUUCAACAUCUUCGUCCAUAGAGAACAUCAAAAGGAGCUUUGCCCAAGAUUGAUUGAUAACUAUUGUUAUAAGCAAAUUCAGCGAAUGGAAGGCACUUCUCCCAAUUCAUGCCGAACAAUAGAACAAAAGCUCGGAGCAUAUCUUCUAGGAUUUGAUUCACUCUUUCUACUUGACCACUUGAUUGAGGAUGGAACGCAGUGCUACAAGAUAGGUGAGUCCCCAUGGCAUUCUAAAAACAUUCCCAGAAGCGAGAAGUAAAAAUACUUCCACGGUCUGAGUUAAUCUCCAGAGGAACACCAUGAAGAGACACUAUUCGAGAGAUAUAUAACUCUGCUAGCUGGCUGGCUAUUAUACUCUCACAAACUGGAAUAAAAUGAGCUACUUUGGAGAGACGGUCAAUGACCACAAAGAUGGCAUUAUUUCCUUUCUUGGUCUUCGGAAAUCCAGUGAUGAAAUCCAUACCGACUUUAUCCCAUUUCCAUUCAGGAAUAGCUAAAGGUCGAAAGGUGCCAACAGGCCUUUGAUAUUCUGUCUUAACUCGACGACAAACGUCGUAGUUAGCAACAAACUCAACAAUUUUUCUCUUCAUCCUAGUCCACCAAAACCUAUGGCGUAGGUCCUCAUACAUCUUAGUACUACCAGGAUGAAUGGUGAGAGGAGAAUCAUGAGCCUCCUUAAGGAUCAACUGCCCUAGAUGUGGAUUCUUAGGAACCACUAGACGAUUCUGGAAGAACACAACAUCUUGAUCAUUCAUGGAGAAUUCGCCCUANNNNNNNNNNNNNNNNNNNNNNNNNNNNNNNNNNNNNNNNNNNNNNNNNNNNNNNNNNNNNNNNNNNNNNNNNNNNNNNNNNNNNNNNNNNNNNNNNNNNAUCAACCGAUCGAGUUCUAACCAAUAUUUUGGAUCCCGGAUGCGCAAAUUUUCUCGUGGAUAUGAAAAGAACUUGAACUAGUAUUCUUCAUAAAAGAGGUAAUAGCUCAGUGGUACAUCAACUACGUGCGCGGUAAGCUAAUUUUUUGGUCGCGAGUUCGAUUCGUUGGGGCCCCUUUUUUUCAUGUUUUCUACUUACCUAUUCUAAAUAACAAACAAAAAGCUGCAGAUGAUGGAUUCGAACCAGAGAGUUCGAUUUUUUGGGGCCCCAUUUUUUUAGGUUUUCUACUUACAUAUUCUGAAAAACAAAAAAAAUGCAGAUGAUGGAUUCGAACGAGCUAUCUCUGGACAUAGAUAAUAGAUCGUUACCACGACGCCACAGUANNNNNNNNNNGUGCUGGUAUACUUGGGAGACACUGCUUAUUUACUAUAGCUGGAGUUUCAAUUCAAAAUAUUCAAACACUUCAGAAUUAUUUGCUCGGGAUAGAUAAUUCUCGCGGGGUGGCGAGAAAUGCGGUUACCGCCAGGUAUCCAAAUUUCUUGGGCUGUACCCAAAACCGUGGUUCUAACUUCAUAUAAAAAAAUCAAUCGAUCUCCUACAGUAUAGCUUGCAAAAAACUAGAGGGUAUAUUGGUCAUUCCAUGUAGAAUUAUUAAUAAGUUCAAUAAAUCAAAUCCACGUAUCUGGGAUGAUUAAGGUCCUAUUUCCAGCAAGGAGGAAUGAUUAAAAUUAUUAUUUUAAGAUCUUAUUACAUACAAUAUAUGAAUGUCACAAGAUCUUAUAUUAUGGAAAGGAUAGAGCUAGCGUGUUAAAACUUUGUCCGGCUGAGCCCGCGUCAUUGGAUCGAAUGGCCAUCACAGCUCGUCAUGCACCAUCUCCUUGCACGACCGCAUAGCGACUUGCCGUCGUUGCCCCCUACAGCUGCGAACUACUACAACUUCAUUGACGACAAUGGUAAUAAUUGGGUGGUUUUGACAGUCGCAAAAGAGGACAAUCGUCUCGUACCCCGCGACAGCAUGCCCGCGGUCGUGGAGAACUACAACCCACGGCGCCAUAUGUUAUAAAUGGCGAUGGGAUACCGGAAUCAACUUAUUUAAAAUAUAAAAUAUAAUAUGCUACAAGCACAACUAAUUUCAAUAGCCUUUCAAGUUGAAAAUAUAAUUAUUAAAAGUUUUAUCAAUAGAUUCGCAUACUAAAGCGCCUUAUAAAUCGUCUCUAAGUUGAUUAAAAUUGUAUAGCUAUUUUCUAAAUGACCAAUAAUAAGAAAAAGUGUGUGGCGUUCUGUAAACGUGUUAAGAAGCGUAUUUAGCCUACUAGUGUUUAUGGGCGUAGAGACGAAUACAAACAAUGUCUCAGAACAGCGACUUUACAAGCCAUUUUUGUUGUAGUGGUCAUUCUAGAGCUAACUUGGGUUAACUAUGUCAUUUUGGAGCUAACUAUGCUUAUUAAGCCAUUUUGGAGCAAGCUAAGCUAAUUAUAGUGCAUUUAAUAGCUAAGUUAGGUGGAAUAGGUCAUCUUGGAGCUACGUAAGCCUUAUUAUGUCAUUUAGGAGAGAACUUAGCUAAGUAUAGAUCAUUUUUUACUAAAUAGGCUAUUUGUGAGCUAACUAAGCUAACUAUGUCAUUUAGGUGGAAUCCUAGCUAACUAUAGGUCAUUUCCGAGCUAACAUUGGUAAAAUAGGUCAUUUUGGAGCUAACUAUGCUUAUUAAGCCAUUUUGGAGCAAGUUAAGCAAAUUAUAGGCCAUUUAAUAGCUAAAUUAGGGGGAAUGGGUCAUCUUGGAGCUACAUAAGCCUUAUUAUGUCAUUUAGGAGAGAACUUAGCUAAGUUAGGGUCAUUUUUUAAUUAAAUAGGCCAUUUUGUAGCUAACUAAGCUAAUUAUGUCAUUUAGGACGAAACGAAGCUAAGUAUAUGUCAUUUUGGAGCUACUUAGGUAAAAAAUAGGUCAUUUUUGAGCUAACUAUGCUUAUUAAGCCAUUUUGCAGCUAGCUAAGCUAAUUAUAGGCCAUUUAAUAGCUAAAUUAGGGGGAAUAGGUCAUCUUGGAACUACGUAAGCAUAUUAUGUCAUUUAGGAGAGAACUCGGCUAAGUAUAGGUCAUAUUUAAUAAAUAGGCGAUUUUGGAGCUAACUAAGCUAAUUACGUCAUUAGGUGGAAGCCAAGCUAACUAUAGGUCAUUCUAGAGGUAACUUGGGUUAAAUAUGUCAUUUUGGAGAUAACUAUCCUUAUUAAGCCAUUUUGGAGCUAGCUAAGCCAAUUAUAGGCCAUUUAAUAGCUAAGUUAGGGGGGAAUAGGUCAUCUUGGAGCUACGUAAACAUAUUAUGUCAUUUACUAGAGAACUUAGCUAAGUACAUGUCAUUUUUUAUUAAAUAUGCCAUUUUGGAGCUAACUAAGCUAAUUAUGUCAUUUAGGUUGAAGCCAAGCUAACUGUAGGUCAUUCUAGAGCUAACUUGGGUUAAAUAUGUCAUUUUGUAGCUAACUAUGCUUAUUAAGCCAUUUUGGAGCGAGCUAAGCUAAUUAUAGGCUAUUUAAUAGCUAUGUUAGGGGGAAUAGGUCAUCUUGGAGCUACGUAAGNNNNNNNNNNNNNNNNNNNNNNNNNNNNNNNNNNNNNNNNNNNNNNNNNNNNNNNNNNNNNNNNNNNNNNNNNNNNNNNNNNNNNNNNNNNNNNNNNNNNAAUAGCUAAGUUAGGGGGAAUAGGUCAUCUUGGAGCUACGUAAGCCGUAUUAUUUCAUUUAGGAGAGAACUUAGCUAAGUAUUUGUCAUUUUUUAUUAAAUAGGCAAUUUUGGAGCUAACUAAGCUAAUUAUGUAAUUUAGGUGGAAGCCUAGCUAACUAUAGGUCAUUUUAGAGCUAAGUUGGGUUAAAUAUGUCAUUUUGGAGCUAACUAUGCUUAUUAAGCCAUUNNNNNNNNNNCUUGGAGCUACGUAAGCCUUAUUAUGUCAUUCAUGAGGGAACUUACCUAAGUAUAGGUCAUUUUUUUAUUAAAUAGGCAAUUUUGGAGCUAACUAAGCUAAUUAUGUCAUUUAGGUNNNNNNNNNNUUUGGAGCUACGUAAGCCUUUUUAUGUAAUUCAUGAGGGAACUUAGCUAAGUAUAGGUCAUUUUUGUUAAAUAGGCAAUUUUGGAGCUAACUAAGCUAAUUAUGUCAUUUAGGUAGAAGUCUAGCUAACUAUAGGUCAUUUCGGAGCUAACAUUGGUAAAAUAGGUCAUUUUGGAGCUAACUAUGCUUAUUAAGCCAUUUUGGAGUUAGCUAAGCCAAUUAUAGGCCAUUCAAUAGCUAAGUUAGGGGGAAUAUUUAUCUUGUAUGUACAUAAGCCUUAUUAUGUCAUUUAGGAGAGAACUUAGGUAAGUAUAGGUCAUUUUUUUAUUAAAUAGGCCAUUAUGGAGCUAACUAAGCUAAUUAUGUUAUUUAGGAUGAAACGAAGCUAAGUAUAUGUCAUUUUGGAGCUACUUAGGUAAAAAUAGGUCAUUUUUGAGAUAACUAUGCUUAUUAAGCUAUUUUGGAGCUAGUUAUGCUAAUUAUAGGUCAUUUAAUAGAUAUGUUAGGGGGAAUAGCUCAUCUUGGAGCUUCGUAAGCAUAUUAUGUGAUUUAGGAGAGAACUCAGCUAAGUAUAGGUCAUUUUUUAAUAAAUAGGNNNNNNNNNNNNNNNNNNNNNNNNNNNNNNNNNNNNNNNNNNNNNNNNNNNNNNNNNNNNNNNNNNNNNNNNNNNNNNNNNNNNNNNNNNNNNNNNNNNNNNNNNNNNNNNNNNNNNNNNNNNNNNNNNNNNNNNNNNNNNNNNNNNNNNNNNNNNNNNNNNNNNNNNNNNNNNNNNNNNNNNNNNNNNNNNNNNNNNNNAUUUGGAGCUAGCUAAGCUAAUUAUAGGCCAUAUAAUAGCUAAGUUAGGGGGGAUAGGUUAUCUUGGAGCUACGUAAGCCUUAUUAUGUCAUUUAGUAGAGAACUUAGCUAAGUAUAUGACAUUUUUUAUUAAAUAGGCAGUUUUGGAGCUAACUAAGCAAAUUAUGUCAUUUAGUUGGAAGCCUAGCUAACUAUAGGUCAUUUUGGAGCUAACUUGGGUANNNNNNNNNNNNNNNNNNNNNNNNNNNNNNNNNNNNNNNNNNNNNNNNNNNNNNNNNNNNNNNNNNNNNNNNNNNNNNNNNNNNNNNNNNNNNNNNNNNNGGCUCGGGAGUCAGUGACGUCGGGGGUCGGGGGUCGGGUGUCAAUGGUGUCAUGGGUCGGGGGUCGAGGGUCAAUGGCGUCAGGAGUCGAGGGUCAAGGGUUAGUGGCGUCGGGCGUCGGGGGACGGGGGUCGAGGGUCAGUGUUGGGGUGCCGGGGUUCCUUUUUCCUCUUCUUUGUUCUUCUCCUCUCUCAUCUUCUUCUUCUUCUUCUUCUUCUUCUUAUUAUUAUUAUUAUUAUUAUUAUUUUUUCUCCUCCUCUUCUUCUUCUUCUUCUUCUUCUUCUUCUUAUUCUUAUUCUUCUUCUUUUUUCUCCUCCUCCUCCUCCUCUUCUUCUUCUUCUUCUUCUUAUUCCACUUCUUCCUUUCCUUCUUCUUCGUCUAAUUAUUUUCUUAGUUUCCUUUUUCCUUUUUCAUUUUUUCUUCUUCUUUUCUUUUUUAUUAAGUUAAUUAGUUUAGUUAGUUUAUUAGUUUCCUUUUUCCUUUUUCAUUUUUUCUUCUUCUUUUCCUCUUUUUUCUUCGAACCUAACUAACUAACCUAAUUAUCCUAAUAAUCUAACCUAACAAACUAACCUAAUAAACUAACUAAAUUAACCUAUAAUAAAAAACUAACCUAAUAAACUAACUAAACUAAUUAACUUAAUAAAAAAGAAAAGAAGAANNNNNNNNNNNNNNNNNNNNNNNNNNNNNNNNNNNNNNNNNNNNNNNNNNNNNNNNNNNNNNNNNNNNNNNNNNNNNNNNNNNNNNNNNNNNNNNNNNNNCCAUUACAUCGCGUGACAUUUCCCCAAAGANNNNNNNNNNACAGGCAUACAUGACCCAACAAAGCAGGUGUCGGUCAUCAGCGAAUGUAGACGAGUCGUAGCAAGCUACAAGGACUCCAUUACAUCGCGUGACAUUUCCCCAAAGAGGACAGACACAGCAGCUAAGAAGGACACAUGCCGGUCAACCAAUGUGUCCGGAGCAGUAGCGAACUACCAAGGCUCAUUGGAUCACAAAGGGGCAUUUCCUUGUACGGAGUACUACUAAAGUUCACGACUAGGUAAUCUAACCCCAUACAUAUCAAGUACGACACACGUACGCAUGGCAUACCGAUAUGUAUAGAUACAUCGGUGGCAUCACAACAUAACCAUAAGCAUACAACCUUUAUUUAAGAGGCUCGGAAGAGCCACACACAUAAUAUUACANNNNNNNNNNAGGAGUGCUACUAAAGUUCACGACUAGGUAAUCGAACCACAUACAUAUCAAGUACGACACACGUACGCAUGGCAUACCGAUAUGUACAGAUACAUCGAUGGCAUCACAACAUAACCAUAAGCAAACAACCUUUAUUUAAGAGGCUCGGAAGAGCCACACACAUAAUAUUACACAUUAAGGGUCUCACGACCCAUAAUAGCAGUCAUUCAGUUACAAGCCAGCGGAAGAGUUUAAACUGUCUGCGUACAGACAGGGCAACUAGAAGGCACAUGGCCUGACUAUACUACAGAUCCAACGUAGGGCCAGAUCGUAGCUGGGACACCAGCUACCCGUCGUUGUCGAUGUCUACGAAGAACCCUCCAUUAGGGUCAUUAGCAACCUCUGCAACAUUUAUUAAGCAAACAUGAGUACGAAGGUACUCAGCAAGACUUUAGGAGAACUAACUACUCAUGGAAGGUAUCAAAAGGUAUUGUGGGGUUUCAUGCGGGAAGCCAGCAUUUGACUCGUGGCUAGACAGCUUGCUUUUUGAAAUUAGUUUUGACAACUUGAUUUCUCGCACACGAGUCCACUAACACCACAACAANNNNNNNNNNGUAUUAAGCAAACAUGAGUACGAAGGUACUCAGCAAGACUUUAGGAUAACUAACUACUCAUGCAAGGUAUCAAAAGGUAUUGUGGGGAUUCAUGCGGAAAGCCAGCAAGACUUGAUUUCUCGCACACGAGUCCACUAACACGACAACAAUACACUAUCGUGGAAUCAUUCCGUCUCCAUACGGAAAUGCCGUCCACGACACNNNNNNNNNNUUUCAUGCGGAAAGCCAGCAUUUGACUCGUGGCUAGACAACUUGCAUUUUGAAAUUAUUUUUGACAACUUGAUUUCUCGCACACGAGUCCACUAACACCACAACAAUACACUAUCGUGGAAUCAUUCCGUCUCCAUAUGGAAAUGCCGUCCACGACACUCACGCUUAUCUUGACAAUUUUAUGAGUAGCCAUUGAAGUUAUCUAUGAACAACAUAUGUCUCCAAGUAGUCCAUAUCCGCGGACGCGGCCAUUCGAAUAGAUCAUAACCCUGCAGGGGUGUACUUCGUCACACACGCUCUCGCCACAUAUCGCCAUGUGCACGUCAUGCACCUCGGCAACCUUCAAGCGGAAGCCCAGCGAGGGAGUCGGCCACGACCGUUAANNNNNNNNNNUAAGUAGUCCAUAUCCGCGGACGCGGCUAUUCGAAUAGAUCAUAACCCAGCAGGGGUGUACUUCGUCACACACGCUCUCGCCACUUAUCGCCAUGUGCACAUCAUGCACCUCAGCAACCUUCAAGCGGAAGCCCAGCGAGGGAGUCGGCCACGACCGUUAACCACACUAGUACCUAGUCCAGGUUUAUCGCCUAUCUGAGAGUAACCCGUACGGAAGUCCGGCCGAGGUUUCCGCCACGGCCUCAAACGAUGUGCGCAGGGUUCCCAAGCCCACCAUCUGGGUGCCACUUGGUACACCGUGCCACUGCCUACCACAUCACGGCCCACCUCUCAGGUCAGCACGAUGCACGGCCUCCAGCAUUACUAUAAACACCAGAAACUACUUGCAACUNNNNNNNNNNUAGCACCAUGCACGGCCUCCAGCAUUACUAUAAACACCAGAAACUACUUGCAACUNNNNNNNNNNCAGCACAAUGCACGGCUUCGAGCAUUUCUAUAAACACCAGAAACUACUUGCAACUCCUGGACCGAGUACUACGCGAUUAAUAGGCCGAGCGGGGUCAUAUUUCAGGGCCCAGCAUGUGGUAGUAUCUAGUCUUGGAUUACAUACACGGAACUCAGUUCCUAAGGACGGUUCCAAUGAAACAACCUGCCAUGUACUCCUACACAGCCUUUCACCGGUACCUUUACCAAUCAGGUUCAACACACAACCUUUGCUNNNNNNNNNNUCCAGCAUGUGGUAGUAUCUAGUCUUGGAUUACAUACACAGAACUCAGUUCCUAAGGACGGUUCCAAUGAAACAACCCGCCAUGUACUCCUACACAGCCUUUCACCGGUACCUUUACCAAAACAAGUUCAACACACAACCUUUGCUCACCAAACACAUUCCACAUUUCUGUUCAUCUCCCAGAUGACAGACCAUACACAACUCUCUAAGCAUAGCAUGCAUAGCAGGAUAAGGCACAUCAUAGCUCAAGAAACUACCAGAUAUGCUAGGUUGCAAGGUUCGGCUAUUUACUGUGACAAGGUUAAGUCAUGCAAAGGAAGUGGGUCCAACUAUCGUGGCAAAAGCAGUUGAAGCAUUUGAUCCUAAUGCAAUAAAUAGGUGCAGGAGCAAGAACAUAGGAGUUAUCGGGAUGAUCAAAAGGGUUGCUUGCCUUUUUGCUCAGAGGAGGAACGAUAUCCGUCAGACGGAUAUUCGGUGGAAUCCGAGGGUGCGGAGCCUACCGAAAUGAAUGGCAACAUUCAAUAACAAUCAUAUGCAAUCAAAAUGAUGCAUGAGCAUGGCAUGAAAUGAAGGGUGAUAUAGUUAUUAUAAUCAAGAUGUUUUAGGUUUAGAGUUUAGUUGAAUCACAUUCGAAUAGUAAUUCAAACGGGUAUUCUCGGAUACCGGUUUAUUUGAUUCGACCUGAUGCUCAGAACAACCUAAUGUUAACCUGCAUGAAAUGUCAUGUUAUGGUACUGAUUUAUAUCUAGGGCAGUGUGUGAUCAUUGCAUUUAUAAUGAAAUUUGGAUAUCUUUGCAAAUUCCAUUUAUAAAGUGAUUAAAGAAUUGAAUUAUUCCUUAUUUCACAAUUUAGGGUCCUGUAACUUUUUCAAACAUAGUUGAAAAUAGCAUAAUCAGAAUCCUUGAAUUUUUCUGAUACUUUUUCAUAUAUAAUUUAUUUUCAUUGGAGUUACAGAUUAAUUUCUAUGAUUUUGCAAUUUUUAGCAAUUUCCUGAAUUAGUUUUAAACUGGAAAUUCCAUUUAUUGCAUCAGGCUGACGUCAGCAGGUCAGCCGACCUGUUCAGGUCAAACCUGACAGGGGGGGCCCACUGGUCAGCCUCUCUGGGACUAAUCCCGCGCUGACCAGCCCUAACUGAGGUUUGACUUGGCCUUGGGCCCACUUGUCAGCGAGUGAUUAAGUCACUAAUCGGCUGGGUUAGCUUGCCACGUCGACCUCCACCGACGGCGAGGUCGUCCUCGCCGGCGGGGAGCCUCCGGCGACCACCAGCNNNNNNNNNNGAUACACGGAACUCAGUUCCUAAGGACAGUUCCAAUGAAACAACCCGCCAUGUACUCCUACACAACCUUUCACCGGUACCUUUACCAAUCAGGUUCAACACACAACCUUUGCUUACCGAACACAUUCUCACAAUUCUGUUCAUCUCCCAGAUGACAGACCAUACACAACUCUAAGAAUAGCAUGCAUAGCAGGAUAAGGCACAUCAUAGCUCAGGCAACUACCAGGUAUGCUAGGUUGCAAGGUUCGGCUAUUUACUGUGACAAGGUUAGGUCAUGCAAAGGAAGUGGGUUCAACUAACGUGGCAAAAGCAGUGGUAGCAUUUGAUCCUAAUGCAAUAAAUAAGUGCAGGAGCAAGAACAUGGGAAUUAUCGGGAUGAUCAAAAGGGUUGCUUGCCUGGUUGCUCAGAGGAGGAACGAUAUCCGUCAGACGGAUAUUCGGUGGAAUCCGAGGGUGCGGAGCCUACCGAAAUGAAUGGCAACAUUCAAUAACAAUCAUAUGCAAUCAAAAUGAUGCGUGAGCAUGGCAUGAGAAUGCAAGGUGAUAAGUUAUUAUUUUCAACAUGUAUUAGGUUUAGAUUUGAUUUGAAUCACAUUCAAAUAGCAAUUCAAACGGGGUAUUCUCGAAUACCGAUUUAAUUGAUUUGACCUGAUGCUCAGAUCAACUUGAUGUUAACGUGCAUGAGAUGUCAUGUUAGGGUACUGAUUGGUUAUUAGAACAAUGUUNNNNNNNNNNGAAACGGGGUAUUCUCGAAUACCGAUUUAAUUGAUUCGACCUGAUGCUCAGAUCAACUUGAUGUUAACAUGCAUGAGAUGUCAUGUUAGGGUACUGAUUGGUUAUUAGAACAAUGUUUGAUCAUGUCAUUCAUAAUGAAAUUUGAAUAUUUUUCAAAUUCCAUUUAUAAAGUAAUUAUAGGAAUUGACUUAUUCAUUAAUCUACAUGUUUGGGUUCUGUAACUUUUUCAAACAUGAAUGAAAAUAGCAUAUUCAGAUUCCUUCAAUUUUUCUGAUACUUUUUCAUAUAUAAAUUAUUUUCGUUGGAGUUGCAGAUUAAUUUCUAUGAAUUUUACAAGUUUUAGCAAUUUCCUGGAAUUAUUUUUAUACUGGAAAAUACUUUUAUUGCAUCAGNNNNNNNNNNUUAACUUUUUCAAACAUGAAUGAAAAUAGCAUAUUCAGAUUCCUUGAAUUUUUCUGAUACUUUUUCAUAUAUAAAUUAUUUUCAUUGGAUUUACAGAUUAAUUUCUAUGAAUUUUACAAGUUUUAGUAAUUUCCUGGAAUUAUUUUUAUACUGGAAAAUACUUUUAUUGCAUCAGCAUGACAUCAGCAGGUGCAACUGGCCGUUGAAAGUCAAACCUGACCAGUGGGACCCACUGAUCAGUCUCUCAGGUCAAUUUUAGAUUAGGAUUAAUCUUAUUUAGUUAANNNNNNNNNNGGUCCAACUGGCCGUUGAAAGUCAAACCUGACCAGUGGGACCCACUGGUCAGUCUCUCAGGUCAAUUUUAGAUUAGGAUUAAUCUUAUUUAGUUAAUUAAACCCACUGGACCCACAUGUCAGUGUCUUAUUAUUUUUACUGAUUUAUUUUUAUUAUUUCUAACCCUGCCAGAGGCUGACCCCACCAGUCAGUGGCUCAGGCCACCCGAGAUCCACCGGCGGCGAGGUCGUCCUCGCCGGCGGGGAGCNNNNNNNNNNACUGGACCCACAUGUUAGUGUCUUAUUAUUUUUACUGAUUUUUUUAUUAUUUCUAAUCCUGCCAGAGGUUGACCCCACCAGUCAGUGGCUCAGGCCAGCCGAGAUCCACCGGAGGCGAGGUCGUCCUCGCCGGCGGGGAGCCUCCAGCGACCACCAGCACGGCGGUGGGGCUCGGAAACGGCGCACAGGGGGCCAAAUGCUGCGCGGAGAGCACCAGAAGAACGGCACACCUCCCGCAGCUCCAUUUCUGCACUUAGAUGGGGCUGAACUGGCCGGAGAUGACGCCGGCGACGAGCUUGGCGACGGCCAAGGCUUGGGCGUCAUCGGGGUCCUUGAUUCAGAGGGAACUACGCUCGGUUCUUAGCUCCUAUAGCAUCUACGCGUCGAUCUGAAGCUGCUGGUGUCCUCGGAAGGACGAGCUGACCACCGGAGGGCUACCGGCGACGAGCUGCAGUAGCGGUCCUCGUCGGGCUCCGAUGAAACUAGAGCUAGAGGAGGGGAUCAACGGGGAAAACUUAGGGGAAAUGACCGCAUGCUCACGGGGAGUGCAGAGCAGGGCUUAGACGGCUCGGGGAAGGCCUGGGGGCGACGAAUCGGGCAGAGCUCGCCGCCGGCCGAAGGUUGAAGACGACGGUGCCGCGGGCGUUGCCGGGCUCGGGGUGGCUUCGGCUUCUGCGGGGAGGACCAGACCGACGAGGCGGAGCUAACGGCGUGCUCUGAGAGGGGAUCCUAUGGCUAGGGGCACGGGCAGCUCGAGCUUUGCUCGGCUCCAAUGGCGGCAGGAGGGGGAGGAGAGAUCCGGGAGGAAGGAGAGAGCCGACGCUAGGAAUGGAUAGAGGAGGCCUCGGGGAGCUUAUCCCCGGCCUUGCCAGCGCGAGGCGGCGGCCAGGCAGGCACACAGGUGCGUGGCCGCGCUGGAGAAGGCGGCGGCCACCUCCUGCUCCUACUUGCGCGAGGGAGACGACAGGAGCUGGGAUGGGCCGGGCCAGGCUAGGCGACAGGUAAGCUCUUUUCCAUUUCCUUUUGUUUUAUUUCUGUUUUAAUUUCUGACAAUGAUUUGCUAUUUAUUUCAGCUCCAAAAUGGUGGUAAAAAUUAUUUUAAACACACCUGAAUAUUUGUUAUAAUAUUCCCAACCAUUUCCAAAGUUUUCAACAUUUUUGAAAAUUUAUAGUUUCUGAUUUCAAAUUUAAAGUUUGAAACCAGUGGCUUUUGCAUUAAUUUAAAAUGCUUAAAGUGUCAAGAAAAUAGUUUUCUCCAAUGCUCANNNNNNNNNNNNNNNNNNNNNNNNNNNNNNNNNNNNNNNNNNNNNNNNNNNNNNNNNNNNNNNNNNNNNNNNNNNNNNNNNNNNNNNNNNNNNNNNNNNNGUCAUCUUGGAGCUACGUAAGCAUAUUAUGUCAUUUAGGAGAGAACUUCGCUAAGUAUAGUUCAUUUUUUAUUAAGUAGGCUAUUUUGGAGCUAACUAAGCUAAUUGUGUCAUUUAGGUGGAAGCCAAGCUAACUAUAGGUCAUUCUAGAGCUAACUUGGGUUAAAUAUGUCAUUUUGGAGCUUACUAUGCUUAUUAAGCCAUUUUGGGGUUGGCUAAGCUAAUUAUAGGGCAUUUAAUAGCUAAGUUAGGGGCAAUAGAUCAUCUUGGAGCUAUGUAAGCCUUAUUUUAUCAUUUUGGAGAGAACUUAGCUAAGUAUAAGUCAUUUUUUUAUUAAAUAGGCAAUUUUGAAGCUAGCUAAACUAAUUAUGUCAUUUAGUUGGAAGGCUAACUAACUAUAGGUCAUUCUUGAGCCAACUUGGGUAAAAUAGGUCAUUUUGGAGCUAACUAUGCUUAUUAAGCCAUUUUGGAGCUAGCUAAGCUAAUUAUAGGCCAUUUAAUAGCUAACUUAAGGGGAAUAGGUCAUCUUGAAGCUACGUAAGCCUUAUUAUGUCAUUUCGGAAAGCACUUAGCUAAGUAUAAGUCAUUUUUUAUUAACUAGGCCAUUUUGGAGAUAACUAAGCAGAUUAUGUCAUUUAGGACGAAACGAAGCUAAGUAUAUGUCAUUUUGGCGCUACUUAGGUAAAAAUAGGUAAUUUUUAUCUAAAUAUGAUUAUUAAGCCAUUUUGGAGCUAUCUAAGCUAAUUAUAGGCCAUUUAUUAGCUAAGUUAGGGGGAAUAUGUCAUCUUGGAGCUACGUAAGCAUAUUAUGUCAUUUAGAAGAGAACUUAGCUAAAUAUAGGUCAUUUUGUUUAUUAAAUAGGCCAUUUUGGAGCUAACUAAGCUAAUUAUGUCAUUUACGUGGAAGCUAAGCUAACUAUAGGUCAUUCUAGAGCUAACUUGGGUUAAAUAUGUCAUUUUGGACAUAAUUAUGCUUAUUAAGCCAUUUUGGAUCUAGCUAAGCUAAUUAUAGGCCAUUUAAUAGCUAAGUUAGGGGGAAUAGGCCAUAUUGGAGCUACGUAAGCAUAUUAUGUCAUUUAGGAGAGAACGUAGCUAAGUAUAGGUCAUUUUUUUAUUAAAUAGGCCAUUUUGAAGAUAACUAAGCUAAUUAUACCAUUUAGAUGGAAGCCAAGCUGACUAUAGGUCAUUCUAGAGCUAACUUGGGUUAAAUAUGUCAUUUUGGAGCCAACUAUGCUUAUUAAGCCAUUUUGGCCAUUUAAUAGCUAAGUUAGGGGGGAUAGGUUAUCUUGGAGCUACGNNNNNNNNNNCAGCCUAAUUAUGUCAUUUAGGAGAGAACUUAUCUAAGUAUAGAUCAUUUUUAUUAAAUAUGCAAUUUUGGAGCUAACUAAGCUAAUUAUGUUAUUUAGGUGGAAGCCUAGCUAACUAUAGGUCAUUUCGGUUCUAACUUUGGUAAAAUAGGUCAUUUUUGAGCUAACUAUGCUUAUUAAGACAUUUUGGAGCUAGUUAAGCUAAUUCUAUGCCAUUUAAUAGCUAAGUUAGGGGAGUAUGUCAUCUUGGAGAUACCUAAGCAUAUUAUGUCAUAUAGGAGAGAACUUAGCUAAGUAUAGGUCAUUUUUAUUAAAUAUGCCAUUUUGGAGCUAACUAAGGUAAUUAUGUCAUUUAGGUGGAAGCCAAGCUAACUAUAGGUCUUUCUCGAGCUAACUUGGGUUAAAUAUGUCAUUUUGGAGCUAACUAUGCUUAUUAAGCCAUUUUGGAGCUAGCUAAGCUAAUUAUAGGCCAUUUUAUAGCUAAGUUAGGGGGAAUAGGUCAUCUUGGAGCUACGUAAGCAUAUUAUUUCAUUUAGGAGAGAACUUGCCUAAGUAUAGGUCUUUUUUUAUUAAAUAGGACAUUUUGGAGCUAACUAAGCUAAUUAUGUCAUUUGGGACGAAACGAAGCUAAGUAUAUGUCAUUUUGGAGCUACUUAGGUACAAAUGGGUCAUUUUUGAGCUAACUAUGCUUAUUAAGACAUUUAGGAGCUAGUUAAGCUAAUUAUAGGCCAUUUAAUAGCUAAGUUAGGGGGAGUAUGUUAUCAUGGAGCUAUGUAAGCCUUAUUUUGUCACUUAGAGAGAACUUAGCUAAGUAUAUAUCAUUUUUUAUUAAAUAGGCAUUUUGGAGCUAACUAAGCUAAUUAUGUCAUUUAGGACGAAAGGAAGCUAAGUAUAUGUCAUUUUGUAGCUACUUAGGUAAAAAUGGGUCAUUUUUUAGCUAACUAUGCUUAUUAAGACAUUUUGGAGCUAGUUAAGCUAAUUAUAGGCCAUUUAAUAGCUAAGUUAGGGGAGUAUGUCAUCCUCGAGCUACGUAAGCAUAUUAUGUCAUUUAGGAGAGAACUUAGCUAAGUAUAGGUUAUUUUUUAUUAAAUAUGCCAUUUUGGAGCUAACUUAGCUAAUUAUGUCAUUUAGGUGGAAGCCAAGCUAAUUAUAGGUCAUUCUAUAGCUAACUUGGAUUAAAUAUGUCAUUUUGGAGCUAACUAUGCUUAUUAACCCAUUUUGGAGUUAGCUAAGCUAAUUAUAGGCCAUUUAAUAGCUAAGUUAGGAGAAUGGGUCAUCUUCGAGCUAUGUAAGCCAUAUUAUGUCAUUUAGGAGAGAACUUAGCUAAGUAUAGGUGAUUUUUAUUAAAUAGGCAAUUUUGGAGCUAACUAAGCUAAUUAUUUCAUUUAUGUGGAAGCCUUGCUAACUAUAGGUCAUUUCGCACAUAACUUGGGUAAAAUAGGUCAUUUUGGAGCUAACUCUGCUUAUUAAGCCAUUUUGGAGCUAGCUAAGCUAAUUAUAGGCCAUUUAAUAGCUAAGUUAGGGGGAAUAGGUCCUCUCGGAGCUACGUAAGCAUAUUAUGUCAUUUAGGUGGGAGUCAAGCUAACCAUAGGUCAUUCUAGAGAUAACUUGGGUUAAAUAUGUCAUUUCGGAGAUAACUAUGCUUACUAAUCCAUUUUGGAUCUAGCUAAGCUAAUUAUAGGGCAUUUAAUAGCUAAAUUAGGAGGAAUAGGUCAUCUUGGAGCUACGUAAACAUAUUAUGUCAUUNNNNNNNNNNNNNNNNNNNNNNNNNNNNNNNNNNNNNNNNNNNNNNNNNNNNNNNNNNNNNNNNNNNNNNNNNNNNNNNNNNNNNNNNNNNNNNNNNNNNAUUCCCCCUAACUUAGCUAUUAAAUGGCCUAUAAUUAGCUUAACUAGCUCAAAAAUGGCUCAAUAAGCAUAGUUAUCUCCAAAAUGACUUAUUUAACCCAAGUUAGCUCUAGAAUGACCUAUAGUUAGCUUGGCUUCCACUUAAAUGACAUAGUUAGCUUAGUUAGCUCCAAAAUGGCCUAUUUAAUAAUAAAAAAUGACCUAUACUUAGCUAAGUUCCCUUCUAAAUAACAUAAUAUGCUUACGUAGCUCCAAGAUGACAUAUUCCUCCUAACUUAGCUAUUAAAUGGAAUUAGCUUAGAUAGCUCCAAAAUGACUAAAUAAGCAUAUUUAGCUCAAAGAUAACCUAUUUUUACAUAAGUAGCUCCAAAAUGACAUAGUAUAAUUACGUAGCUCCAAGAUGACCUAUUCCCCCUAACUUAGCUAUUAAAUGNNNNNNNNNNACUCUAAAAUGGCUUAAUCAGCAUAGUUAGCUCCAAAAUAACAUAUUUAACCCGAGUUAUCUCUAGAAUGACCUAUAGUUAGCUUGGCUUCCACCUAAAUGACAUAAUUAGCUUAGUUAGCUCCAAAAUGGCCUAUUUAUUAAAAAAUGACCUAUACUUAGCUGAGUUCUCUCCUAAAUGACAUAAUAUGCUUACGUAGCUCCAAGAUGAGCUAUUCCCCCUAACAUAGCUAUUAAAUGACCUAUAAUUAACUUAGCUAGCUCCAAAAUAGCUUAAUAAGCAUAGUUAGCUCAAAAAUGACCUACUUUUACCUAAGUAGCUCCAAAAUGACAUAUACUUAGCUUCAUUUCGUCCUAAAUAACAUAAUUAGCUUAGUUAGCUUCAAAAUGGCAUAUUUAAUAAAAAAUGACCUAUACUUAGCUAAGUUCUCUCCUAAAUGACAUAAUAAGGCUUAUGUACUUCCAAGAUAACCUAUUCCCCCUAACUUAGAUAUUAAAUGGCCUAUAAUGUGCUUAGCUAGCUCCAAAUGGCAUAAUAAGCAUAGUUAGCUCCAAAAUGACCUAUUUUACCAAUGUUAGCUNNNNNNNNNNNNNNNNNNNNNNNNNNNNNNNNNNNNNNNNNNNNNNNNNNNNNNNNNNNNNNNNNNNNNNNNNNNNNNNNNNNNNNNNNNNNNNNNNNNNCUGUGUAGGAGUACAUGGCAGGUUGUUUCAUUGGAACCGUCCUUAGGAACUGAGUUCCGUGUAUGUAAUCCAAGACUAGAUACUACCACAUGCUGGGCCCUGAAAUAUGACCCCGCUCGGCCUAUUAAUCGCGUAGUACUCGGUCCAGGAGUUGCAAGUAGUUUCUGGUGUUUAUAGUAAUGCUGGAGGCCGUGCAUCGUGCUGACCUGAGAGGUGGGCCGUGAUGUGGUAGGCAGUGGCACGGUGUACCAAGUGGCACCCAGAUGGUGGGCUUGGGAACNNNNNNNNNNNNNNNNNNNNNNNNNNNNNNNNNNNNNNNNNNNNNNNNNNNNNNNNNNNNNNNNNNNNNNNNNNNNNNNNNNNNNNNNNNNNNNNNNNNNNNNNNNNNNNNNNNNNNNNNNNNNNNNNNNNNNNNNNNNNNNNNNNNNNNNNNNNNNNNNNNNNNNNNNNNNNNNNNNNNNNNNNNNNNNNNNNNNNNNNNNNNNNNNNNNNNNNNNNNNNNNNNNNNNNNNNNNNNNNNNNNNNNNNNNNNNNNNNNNNNNNNNNNNNNNNNNNNNNNNNNNNNNNNNNNNNNNNNNNNNNNNNNNNNNNNNNNNNNNNNNNNNNNNNNNNNNNNNNNNNNNNNNNNNNNNNNNNNNNNNNNNNNNNNNNNNNNNNNNNNNNNNACCUGGACUAGGUACUAGCGUGGUUAACGGUCGUGGCCGACUCCCUCGCUGGGCUUCCGCUUGAAGGUUGCUGAGGUGCAUGAUGUGCACAUGGCGAUAAGUGGCGAGAGCGUGUGUGACGAAGUACACCCCUGCUGGGUUAUGAUCUAUUCGAAUAGCCGCGUCCGCGGAUAUGGACUACUUAGAGACAUAUGUUGUUCAUAGAUAACUUCAAUGGCUACUCAUAAAAUUGUCAAGAUAAGCGUGAGUGUCGUGGACGGCAUUUCCAUAUGGAGACGGAAUGAUUCCACGAUAGUGUAUUGUUGUGGUGUUAGUGGACUCGUGUGCGAGAAAUCAAGUUGUCAAAAAUAAUUUCAAAAUGCAAGUUGUCUAGCCACGAGUCAAANNNNNNNNNNNNNNNNNNNNNNNNNNNNNNNNNNNNNNNNNNNNNNNNNNNNNNNNNNNNNNNNNNNNNNNNNNNNNNNNNNNNNNNNNNNNNNNNNNNNGGGAUUAGGCCACUUGCUCCACCGUUUCUACUACUUUUUACUUGUUACUUUUCGCUUGCUACAUUUCACCUCACUACACCAUCACUUGUUACCGCUACUUUUAGUGAUUGCAGUUAUUACCUUGCUGAAAACUGUUUACCAGAGCCUUCUGCUCCUCGUUGGGUUCGACACUCUUACUUAUUGAAAGGACUAGAAUUGAUCCCCUAUACUUGUGGGUCAUCAAGACUCUUUUGUCGCGCCGUUGCCAUGGAGUGAAGCGCCUUUGGUAAGUGGAAAUUGGUAAGGAAGCAUCUAUAUAUUGUGCUGAAAUUUAUUGUCACUUGUCACUAUGGAAACUGUUCCUUUGAGGAGUUUGUUCGGGGUAUCUUCACCACGAACGGAAGCACGAGGAGUUUUUCCUCAACCUGAGGUACCUACUGAAAAUAUCUUUUAUGAAAUUCCUUUGGGUAUGCUUGAGAAACUGCUGGCUAAUCCUUUUACAGGAGAUGGAUCUUCACAUCCAGACUUGCAUCUGAUCUAUGUAGAUGAAGUUUGUGGUUUAUUUAAGCUUGCAGGUUUUCCCGAGGAUGAGGUAAAGAAGAAAGUCUUUCCUUUAUCUUUGAAGGACAAGGUGUUGUCAUGGUAUAGGCUAUGUGAUGAUAUUGGAUCAUGGGACUACAAUCGGUUGAAAUUGGAAUUUCAUCAAAAGUUCUAUCCUAUGCAUUUAGUACAUCGUGAUCGGAAUUAUAUUGAUAACUUUUGGCCUCGUGACAGGGAAAGCAUAUCUCAAGCUUGGGGGAGGCUUAAAUCAAUGCUAUAUUCAUGCCCCAAUCAUGAGCUCUCAAGAGAAAUUAUCACUCAAAACUUUUAUGCUCGGCUUUCUCAUGAAGAUCGUACCAUGAUUGACCCUUCUUGUAUCGAUUCUUUUAUGAAGAAGGAUAUUGACCACAAGUGGAAUUUAUUAGAAAGAAUCAAACGUAACUCUGAAGAUUGGGAGCUGGAGGAAGGUAAGGAGUCAGGUAUGAAUUUACAGUUUGAUUGCGUUAAAUCUUUUGUUGAGACAAACACUUCUAGAGAUUUUAGCGCUAAGUAUGGACUUGACUCUGAGAUAGUAGCUUCUCUAUGUGAAUCUUUUGCUGCACAUGUUGAUCUUCCCAAAGAGUAGUGGUUUAAGUAUCAUCCUCCUGUAGAAAGCAACAUAGUCAAAACCAAUCUAGUUGAGGAGAAAGUCAUUGCUUUUAGUGAUCCUGUUGUUCCUUGUGCCUACGCUGAGAAACCACCAUACCCUGCUAGGAUAAAGGAUUAUUCUAAAGCUCCAACUAUGAUACGUAGGUGUUACAUUAGACCACUUGCACCCCCUAAGGAGAUUAGAGUUGAACCUAGUGUUUCCAUUAUCAAAGAUCUCUUAGCCGAACACGUAGACGGGCAUGUUAUCAAAUUCUGUGAGGACUCUGCUAGAAUUGCUAAACCUCACGCGAAAGACAAAUACGGACCUGUAGUUGGCCUGCCCGUUGUUUCUGUCAAGAUAGGAGAUCACUGUUACCAUGGUUUAAGUGAUAUGGGAGCUAGUGCUAGUGCAAUACCCUGUUCCCUAUAUGAUGAAAUCAAAGAUGAGAUUGCACCUGCUGAGUUAGAACCCAUUGAUGUCACUAUUACGCUAGCUAAUAGAGACACUAUCUGCCCUCUGGGAAUUGUGAGAGACGUAGAAGUCAUGUGUGGUAAGACGAAGUAUCCUACUGAUUUCCUCGUCCUUGGUACUACACAAGAUAGCUUUUGUGCCUUCAUAUUUGGUAGACCCUUUCUCAACACUGUCAAUGCUCACAUUGAUUGCAUUAAGCAGACUGUCACAGUUAGUUUCGAGGGUGUGUCUCAUGAAUUUAACUUCUCCAAGUUUGGAAGACAACCCCAUGAAAAAGAGUCGUCUGCUAGGGAUUAAAUCAUUGCCCUUGCCUCUAUUGCCGUACCUCCUACGGAUCCUUUAGAGAAAUAUCUGCUUGAGCAUGAAAAUGAUAUGCAUAUGGAUGAAAGAGAUGAGAUAGAUAAAAUUGUCUUAGAACAAUAUCCUAUUCUCAAGAAUAAUCUGCUUGUUGAACUGCUUGGGGAUCCUCCCCCACCAAAGGGUCAUCCUGUGUUUGAGCUUAAACAGUUGCCUGAUACUCUCAGAUAUGCCUAUCUUGAUGAGAAGGAGAUAUAUCAUGUUAUUAUUAGUGCUCUCCUCUCAGAGCACGAAGAGAAGAAGUUACUAAAAACUCUAAGGAAGCACUGUGCUGCUAUUGGAUAUACUCUUGAUGAUCUUAAGGGUAUUAGUCCCACUCUAUGUCAGCACAAGAUUAAAACCGAUCCUGAUUCUAGACCAUUAGGUGAUCAUCGAAGGAGAUUAAAUCUGAAGAUGAAAGAGAUCGUUAGAAAAGAAAUAUUAAAGCUUCUCGAAGCGGGAAUCAUUUAUCCUGUUGCUCAUAGUGAUUCGGUGAGUCCACUACAUUACGUACCUAAGAAGGGAGGUAUCACCGUCGUCCCUAAUGAUAAGGAUGAACUAAUCCCACAAAGGAUUAUUACUGGCUAUAGGAUGGUGAUAGACUUCCGGAAACUGAACAAGGCAACCAGGAAAGAUCAUUAUCCUUUACCGUUUAUCGACCAAAUGCUAGAAAGGCUAUCCAAACACACACACUUUUGCUUUCUAGACGGUUAUUCAGGUUUCUCGCAAAUACCUGUUGCACAAUCUGAUCAGGAGAAAACCACUUUCACCUGCACCUUCGGUACCUUUGCUUAUAGACGUAUGCCUUUUGGCUUAUGCAAUGCACCUGCCACCUUUCAAAGAUGUAUGAUGGCUAUAUUCUCUGACAUUUGUGAAAAGAUUGUCGAGGUUUUCAUGGAUGACUUCUCCGUUUACGGGUCUUCCUUUGAUGAUUGCCUCAGCAACCUUGAUCGAGUCUUACAGAGAUGCAAAGAUACCAACCUCGUCUUGAAUUGGGAGAAGUGCCACUUUAUGGUUAAUGAAGGUAUCGUCUUAGGACACAAAAUUUCUGAAAGAGGCAUUGAAGUUGAUAAGGCUAAGGUUGAUGCAAUUGAGAAAAUGCCUUGCCCCACAGAUAUCAGAGGUAUACGAAGUAUCCUAGGUCAUGCUGGUUUCUAUAGAAGGUUCAUUAAAGACUUCUCUAAGAUUUCUAGGCCUCUUACCAACAUUUUGUAGAAGUAUGUUCCUUUCGGUUUUGAUGAGGAUUGUGAGGAAGCUUUCGAAAUACUUAAGAAGGCUUUGAUAACCGCACCUAUUGUUCAACCACCUGACUGGAACUUGCCCUUUGCAAUCAUGUGCGACGCUAGUGAUUAUGUUGUUGGUGUUGUUCUAGGACAAAGAGUUGACAAGAAGUUGAAUGUUAUUCACUACGCUAGUUAAACUCUAGACAGUGCCCAAAGAAACUAUGCCACUACGGAAAAGGAGUUUUUAGCAGUCGUGUUCGCAUGUGAAAAGUUCAGAUCUUAUAUAGUUGACUCCAAAGUCACUAUUCACUCUGAUCAUGCUGCUAUUAAGUACCUUGUGGAGAAGAAGGACGCUAAGCCUAGGCUAAUCAGAUGGGUUCUCCUGCUAUAGGAAUUUGAUUUGCACGUUGUUGAUCGAAAGGGUGCUGAUAACCCUGUAGCAGAUAACUUGUCCAGGCUAGAGAAUGUCCUUGAUGACCCACGACCUAUUGAUGACAACUUUCCUGAUGAGCAAUUAAAUGUCAUCCGCACUUCACAUAGUGCACCGUGGUAUGCCGAUUACGCAAAUUAUAUCGUAGCCAAAUACAUACCACCCAGUUUCACCUAUAAGCAAAAGAAGAAAUUCUUCUUUGAUUUGAGACACUACUUUUGGGAUGAUCCUCACCUUUAUAAGGAAGGAGUAGAUGGUGUUAUUAGACGUUGUGUGCCUAAACAUGAACAGGGACAGAUCUUGCAGAAGUGUCAUUCCGAAGCCUACGAAGGACACCAUGCUGGAGAUAGAACUGCUCAUAAGGUAUUGCAAUCAGGUUUCUAUUGGCCCACUCUCUUCAAGGAUGCCCAUAAGUUUGUCUUGUCUUGUGACGAAUGCCAAAGAAUAGGGAACAUCAGUAAGAGUCAGGAAAUGCCUAUGAACUAUUCACUUGUCAUUGAACCAUUUGAUGUAUGGGGCUUUGUUUAUAUGGGACCCUUCCCGAGUUCCAAUGGGUACACUCACAUCUUAGUUGCUGUGGAUUAUGUCACUAAGUGGGUAGAAGCUAUGCCCACUGAAAAUGUUGAUCACCACACCUCUAUUAAGAUGCUUAAAGAAGUCAUUUUCCCAAGAUUUGGAGACCCUGGAUAUUUGAUGACUGAUGGCGGUUCACACUUCAUUCAUGGUGUUUUCCGCAAGAUGCUCGCUAAGUAUGAUGUCAACCAUAGAGUUGCAUCUCCUUAUCAUCCUCAGUCUAGUGGUCAAGUGGAGUUGAGUAAUAGGGAGAUCAAAUUGAUCUUACAAAAGACCGUCAAUAGAUCUCGAAAGAAUUGGUCUAGCAAACUUGACGAUGCACUAUGGGCUUAUAGGACUGCUUAUAAGAAUCCUAUGGGCAUGUCGCCGUAUAAUAUGGUUUAUGGUAAGGCCUGUCAUUUACCUCUUGAGCUGGAACACAAAGCUUAUUGGGCAAUCAAAGAGCUCAACUUCAAUUUCAAACUUGCCGGUGAGAAGCGGUUGUUUGAUAUCAGCUUGUUAGAUGAAUGGAGGGCCGAGGCAUAUGAGAAUGCCAAGUUGUUCAAGGAAAAGGUCAAGAGAUGGCACGACAAACGAAUAAAGAAACGAGAAUUCAAUGUAGGUGAUUAUGUCCUGCUAUACAAUUCUCGCUUAAGAUUCUUCGCAGGCAAACUUCUCUCUAAAUGGGAAGGUCCUUACGUUAUCGAGGAAGUAUAUCGUUCCAGUGCCAUCAAAAUCAAUAACACGCAAGGAAAUUUUCCUAGAGUGGUAAAUGGGCAAAGAAUCAAGCAUUAUAUCUCUGGUACUCCCAUAAAUGUUGAGACCAAUAUCAUCAAUAUCAUAGUUCCAAAGGAGUACAUAAGGGAUGUUUAUCAGCCUGUUUCAGACCCUGAAAAAGAAGAGGUAUCUGUUUUGGUAAGUAAUUGGACUCCGAAACUUUUCCAAUAGGAAAUUUCCUCCGUUUUGGAAUUUUUGGAAAAUUAGAAAAAUAAAAAGAAGUCCGGAGAGCGCACGAGGCGGCCACAAGCUUGGUAGCCGCCACCUACCCCCGGGUGGCGGCUAGAGGGCUUGUGGGAACCUCGUGUGCCUCCCGGACUCUGUUUUCUUGUGGAGCACUCCUUCUGGUCCAGAAAAAAACAUUAUAUAUACGCCCGAGGGUUUUGAUCUCCGUAUCGCACAGUUUUCCUCUGUUUUCGUUUCGAGCCUGUUGUGUGCCGCAGAUUUAGAGCAAAGAUGUUUCAGUAAUCUGUUGUGGAGAAUGAUCAUCCCCAAGCUCAUGAAGAAGUAGAUGCUAAUCUGAAAAGAGUAGAAGUCACGGAAGCCAGGGACAAAGCUAAGGAGAAAACCCAAGCUAGGGAGGAAGCUCAACCUAUGUUCAAUGUUGAAGACGUUGAAGGACUAGAUUUUCUCCAGCCCUUCCUCCGCGUGUUGUCUCCAUCCUUGAUUGAACUCUUAAGGUUUUGUGAAACAACUCGUGCUCGCAAUAUUUCCCUUUCUCGUAAAGUUGUUUUGCUGGAAAACCAUGUCGCAGAUCUCAAAGGUAUAAAUCAAAUAUUGAUAGCUCUCUUGGAAUCAAAGGCAACAACUCCACCACCAUCACCACCAAAGGAAGACAACUAAGCAUUGGUAUGGGCAAUCCCCUUGGCUUUUGCCAAGCUUGGGGGAGUUGCCCUGGUAUCAUAUCACCUUUAUAUCUUUUGCCUUUACCUUUGUUCUAGUUCUUUCCUUUUCAGUUUUUAUUUUUUUUCUUAGAGGAAUAAGUCUUUAGUGUUUAGUUUGAGUCUUUUGCUUUUGUCUCUCCCCCGAUGUAUUCGAGCUUACGAGCUAUAUAAUAAAGAGUAUCUCAGUCAAGGGCUUUGCUUUUUGUCGUGAUCAAAAGUAUGAAAAGAACGAUGGCAUGAAAGAUCAUGAGAUGAUAUUGUGGAAAGUGAUAGCUUCACAUAUAACAAGUAUGAUGAUUGGAACUUGUUGAGAAUAAACCAACAUAGACCUCAGUCGUUGUUGCAAUUAAUAAGAAGUAAUAAGGAAAGAGAGGUUCGCAUAUAAAUAUAUCAUAUUAGACACUUUUUACAUUUGUGAGCACUCACCAAACUAUUACAUGCUUAGAAGUAGAUCUUGGACAAGGAAGACAACAUAAUGAAUUGUGUUUGCUUGGUUCCAAAUAAUGUUAUAUGCUUAGAGAUCCCUUAGCAUGUGACGAUUGCUUCCACCUCAUAUUAGCCAAAACUCCCGCGCCAAGUAGAGAUACUACUUGUGCAUCCAUAAACCUUCAACCCAGUUUUGCCAUGAGAGUCCACCAUACCUACCUAUGGAUUGAAUAAGAUCCUUCAAGUAAGUUGUCAUCGAUGCAAGCAAUAAAAAUUGCUCUCUAAUAUGUAUGAUCUAUUAGUGUGUGGAAAACAUGCCUUAUACGAACCUGUGAUGAGGAAGACAUAAAAGCGACAGACUGCAUAAUAAAGUUCUUUAUCACACGAGGCAAUAUAAAGUGACGUUCCUCCGCACUAAUAGGACACGCAUCCAAACCUCAAAAGCGCAUGACAACCUCCGCUUCCCUCCGCGAAGUGCCUAUCUUGUGCCUUUACUUUUUGCCCUUGUAAGAGUCAUGGUGAUCUUCACCAAUUCCCUAUUUUUGCCUUUGUCUUGGCUACCGUCACAUGCUUGGGAAAGAUCUAUAUUCAUAUAUCAACUUGGUGUUGAGUACCUAUGCUUUAUUAUUGUUGACUUUACCCUUGAGGUAAAUGGUUGGGAGGAAAACCUACAAGCCCCUAUCUUCCUCUGUGUCCAGCUGAAACUUUGAUACCAUGAGUACCACAUGAGUUGUAACAAUUGUGGAAAAUAAAUGAGAUGAUUGAGUAUGUGGGUUUGCCUUACAAGCUCUUAUUUGACUCUUUCUGAUGUUAUGAUAAAUUACAAUUGCUUCAAUGACUUUGGACUAUUGUUGGUUACUUCCCGGUAAGGAUUUUGCUUCAUGCUUUGCUUUGUGAAGGAAUUGUUACUUUCCCAUAAGAAUCUUUAUGAUGUUAGAACCACGGUUUUGGGUACAGCCCGAGAAAUUUGGAUACCUGGCGGUAACCGCAUUUCUCGCCGCCCCGCGAGAAUUAUCUAUCCCGAGCAAAUAAUUCUGAAUUGUUUGAAUAUUUUGAAUUUAAACUGCCAGCUAUAGUAAAUAAGUAGUGUCUCCCAAGUAUACCAGCAUCCUUACUGUGGCGUCGUGGUAACGAUCUAUUAUCUAUGUCCAGAGAUAGCUGGUUCGAAUCCAUCAUCUGUAGUUUUUUGUUUGUUUUUCAGAAUAUGUAAGUAGAAAACCUAAAAAAAUGGGGCCCCAAAGAAUCAAACUCUCUGGUUGAAUCCAUCAUCUCCAGUCUUUUGUUUGUUCUUUAGAAUAGGUAAGUAGAAAACAUGAAAAAAAGGGGCCCCAAAGAAUCGAACUCGCGACCACAAAUUAGCUUAGCGCGCACGCAGUUGAUGUACCACUGAGCUAUUACCUCUUUUCUGAAGAAUACUAGUUCGAGUUCUUUUCAUAUCCACGAGAAAUUUUGCGCAUCCGGGAUCCAAAAUAUUGGUUAGAACUCGAUCGGUUGAUUCUUGAGCAGCUCGUCCAUAGCGCCGCCACCGCUCGAUACCUCGGCACCAGCGGGCGCCCUCCCGCCCGUCGUCCCGCCGUCGUUUGCCCCUAGCCAUACCUCGGCACUGAUACGUCCAUUUUGCAUCAUGCUUUCAUGUUGAUAUUUAUUGCUUUAUGGGCUAUUAUAUUACUUUGUGGUACCAUAUUUAAGUCUUUUCUCUCUUAUUUUGCAAGGUUUAUUUGAAGAGGGAGAAUUCAGGUAGCUGGAAUUCUAGACUGGAAAAGGAGCAAAUCUGAGUCCUCUAUUCUACACAUCUCCAAAUGCCCUGAAAAGUUACGUGGAUUUUUUUGGGAUUAUAUAAAAAAUACUAGGCGAAAGAAGUACCAGAGGGGAGCUACCAGGGCGCCACAAGCCUGGUAGCUGCCACCCCCUGGUGGCAGCUACAGGGAUUGUAGGCUCCCUGACGGCCCACCGGGCCCCCUCUUUUGCUAUAUGAAGGGUUUCGUUCCAUAAAAAAUCAAUCGGGAGCUUUUUUGUUGUUUCUCCGCCGCCACGAGGCGGAACUUGAGCAGAUCCAAUCUAGAGCUCCGGUAGGACGAUCCUGCCGGGGAAACUUCCCUCCCGGAGGGGGAAAUCGUCGCCAUCGUCAUCACCAACACUCCUCUCAUCGGAGGGGACUGGUAUCCAUCAACAUCUUCAUCAGCACCAUCUCAUCUCCAACCCCUAGUUCAUCACUUGUAACCAAUCUCCGUUUCGCGACUCCAAUUGGUACUUGUAAGGUUGCUAGUAGUGUUGAUUACUCUUUGUAGUUAAUGCUAGUUGGAUUACUUGGUGGAAGAGUUUAUGUUCAGAUCCUUGAUGUUAUUCAUUACACCUAUGAUCAUGAUUACGAUUAUGCUUUGUGAGUAGUUACUUUUGUUCCUAAGGACAUGGGAUAUGUCAUGUUAAUAAUAGUCAUGUGAAUUUUAUAUUCGUUCGGUAUUUUGAUAUGUUGUAUGUUGUCUUUUCCUCUAGUGAUUUUAUGUGAAUGUCGAGUACAUAACACUUCACUAUAUUUGGGCCUAGAGGAAGGCAUUGGGGAGUAGUAAGUAUAUGAUGGGUUGCUGGAGUGAUAGAAGCUUAAACCCCAGUCUAUGCGUUGCUUCGUAAGGGGCUGAUUUNNNNNNNNNNNNNNNNNNNNNNNNNNNNNNNNNNNNNNNNNNNNNNNNNNNNNNNNNNNNNNNNNNNNNNNNNNNNNNNNNNNNNNNNNNNNNNNNNNNNAUUCCCCCUAACUUAGCUAUUAAAUGGCCUAUAAUUAGCUUAACUAGCUCAAAAAUGGCUCAAUAAGCAUAGUUAUCUCCAAAAUGACUUAUUUAACCCAAGUUAGCUCUAGAAUGACCUAUAGUUAGCUUGGCUUCCACUUAAAUGACAUAGUUAGCUUAGUUAGCUCCAAAAUGGCCUAUUUAAUAAUAAAAAAUGACCUAUACUUAGCUAAGUUCCCUUCUAAAUAACAUAAUAUGCUUACGUAGCUCCAAGAUGACAUAUUCCUCCUAACUUAGCUAUUAAAUGGAAUUAGCUUAGAUAGCUCCAAAAUGACUAAAUAAGCAUAUUUAGCUCAAAGAUAACCUAUUUUUACAUAAGUAGCUCCAAAAUGACAUAGUAUAAUUACGUAGCUCCAAGAUGACCUAUUCCCCCUAACUUAGCUAUUAAAUGGCCUAUAAUUAGCUUAGCUAACUCUAAAAUGGCUUAAUCAGCAUAGUUAGCUCCAAAAUAACAUAUUUAACCCGAGUUAUCUCUAGAAUGACNNNNNNNNNNNNNNNNNNNNNNNNNNNNNNNNNNNNNNNNNNNNNNNNNNNNNNNNNNNNNNNNNNNNNNNNNNNNNNNNNNNNNNNNNNNNNNNNNNNNNNNNNNNNNNNNNNNNNNNNNNNNNNNNNNNNNNNNNNNNNNNNNNNNNNNNNNNNNNNNNNNNNNNNNNNNNNNNNNNNNNNNNNNNNNNNNNNNNNNNNNNNNNNNNNNNNNNNNNNNNNNNNNNNNNNNNNNNNNNNNNNNNNNNNNNNNNNNNNNNNNNNNNNNNNNNNNNNNNNNNNNNNNNNNNNNNNNNNNNNNNNNNNNNNNNNNNNNNNNNNNNNNNNNNNNNNNNNNNNNNNNNNNNNNNNNNNNNNNNNNNNNNNNNNNNNNNNNNNNNNNNNNNNNNNNNNNNNNNNNNNNNNNNNNNNNNNNNNNNNNNNNNNNNNNNNNNNNNNNNNNNNNNNNNNNNNNNNNNNNNNNNNNNNNNNNNNNNNNNNNNNNNNNNNNNNNNNNNNNNNNNNNNNNNNNNNNNNNNNNNNNNNNNNNNNNNNNNNNNNNNNNNNNNNNNNNNNNNNNNNNNNNNNNNNNNNNNNNNNNNNNNNNNNNNNNNNNNNNNNNNNNNNNNNNNNNNNNNNNNNNNNNNNNNNNNNNNNNNNNNNNNNNNNNNNNNNNNNNNNNNNNNNNNNNNNNNNNNNNNNNNNNNNNNNNNNNNNNNNNNNNNNNNNNNNNNNNNNNNNNNNNNNNNNNNNNNNNNNNNNNNNNNNNNNNNNNNNNNNNNNNNNNNNNNNNNNNNNNNNNNNNNUUCUCUCCUAAAUGACAUAAUAUGCUUACGUAGCUCCAAGAUGAGCUAUUCCCCCUAACAUAGCUAUUAAAUGACCUAUAAUUAACUUAGCUAGCUCCAAAAUAGCUUAAUAAGCAUAGUUAGCUCAAAAAUGACCUACUUUUACCUAAGUAGCUCCAAAAUGACAUAUACUUAGCUUCAUUUCGUCCUAAAUAACAUAAUUAGCUUAGUUAGCUUCAAAAUGGCAUAUUUAAUAAAAAAUGACCUAUACUUAGCUAAGUUCUCUCCUAAAUGACAUAAUAAGGCUUAUGUACUUCCAAGAUAACCUAUUCCCCCUAACUUAGAUAUUAAAUGGCCUAUAAUGUGCUUAGCUAGCUCCAAAUGGCAUAAUAAGCAUAGUUAGCUCCAAAAUGACCUAUUUUACCAAUGUUAGCUCCGAAAUGACCUAUAGUUAGCUAGGCUUCCACCUAAAUGACAUAAUUAGCUUAGUUAGCUCCAAAAUUGCCUAUUUAAUAAAAAAAUGACCUAUACUUAGGUAAGUUCCCUCAUGAAUGACAUAAUAAGGCUUACGUAGCUCCAAGAUGAGCUAUUCCCCCUAACUUAGCUACUAAAUGGCCUAUAAUUAGCUUAGCUAGCUCCAAAAUGGCUUAAUAAGCAUAGUUAGCUCCGAAAUGACAUAUUUAACCCAAGUUAGCUCUAAAAUGACCUAUAGUUAGCUAGGCUUCCACCUAAAUUACAUAAUUAGCUUAGUUAGCUCCAAAAUUGCCUAUUUAAUAAAAAAUGACAAAUACUUAGCUAAGUUCUCUCCUAAAUGAAAUAAUACGGCUUACGUAGCUCCAAGAUGACCUAUUCCCCCUAACUUAGCUAUUAAAUGGCCUAUAAUUUGCUUAGCUAGCUCCCAAAUGGCUGAAUAAGCAUNNNNNNNNNNNNNNNNNNNNNNNNNNNNNNNNNNNNNNNNNNNNNNNNNNNNNNNNNNNNNNNNNNNNNNNNNNNNNNNNNNNNNNNNNNNNNNNNNNNNUAGGGCGAAUUCAAUCUUCAUGGAGUAUUUGGAUAAAUUCGUCGUGGUAUACCUCGAUCAUAUUCUCAUCUACUCGAAGAACGAACAAGAACAUGCCGAGCAUCUAAGGCUGGUAUUGAUGAAGCGUCGAGAGAAUCGCCUUUAUGCCAAGUUUUCAAAAUGUGAAUUUUGGUUACCAGAAGUGACCUAUCUAGGCCACGUAAUCUCUGGUAUGGGUAUUGUUUUCAAUCUCGAGAGAGUUCAAGCCGUCCUUGAUUGGACUCAACCCGAAUCGGCUAAGCAAGUUAGGAGUUUUCUUGGACUAGCGAGCUAUGGUCACCGCUUUGUCGAGCAUUUCUCCAAGCUUGCAAAGCCUCUAACUGAACUCCUCAAGAAAGAUAAAAGUUCGAGUGGACACCACAGUGUGAGCAUAGCUUUUAGGAACUGAAAAGACGCGUGACUUCCCCACCUGUGUUACUACCACCAGAUUUUUCUAAGGACUUUGUUAUCUAUUGCGACGCCUCGCGACAAGGAUUAGGUUGCAUACUCAUGCAUGAUGUCAUGUGAUUGCAUACGCAUCUCGACAGUUGCGUCCACAUGAGGAUAAUUAUCCCAGACAUGAUCUUGAGCUUGCAGCUGUAGUUCAUGAACUUAAAACCUGGCGACAUUACCUUCUUGGUAAUCGUUGCGAAAUAUUCACUGAUCACCAAAGUCUGAAAUUAUCUUCACCCAGCCGGAAUGGAAUCUCAGGCAAAGACGAUGGGUUGAGUUGAUCACAGAUUAUGACUUGGGGAUAACUUACACCCUAGGGAAGGCCAAUGUUAUGGCUGAUGCACUAAGUCGUAAGUCUUAUUGUAAUAAUUUGAUGUUAAAACGAGGUCAACCACAUCUCUAUGAGGAAUUUCAGAAGUUAAACCUCCACAUAGUUCCUCAAGGAUUCCUUUCUUCAUGACUAAUGUAACACCUACCAACCCUUCACCUAGGAGUAUGCGCUUAGCACUUUGUUUUGAUUACUAAUAAAAACUAUCGUAACAAGUAUGUGAGUUCUUCAUGACUAAUGUGAGUCCAUGGUAUAGAUGCACUUUCACCUUCCACCAUUGCUAGCCUCUCUAGUGCCGCGCAAUUCUCGUCGGUGCACAAACCCACCAUAUGCCUUCCUCAAAACAGCCACCAUACCUACCUACUAUGGCAUUUUCAUAGCCAUUCCGAGAUAUAUUGCCAUGCAACAACCACCGUUACGUCUCAUGACUUGUGUCGUCACUCUCAUAUUGCCAUUGCAUGAUCGUAAGAUAGCUAGCGAGAUGUUUCAAUGUCAUACACCAUGCUAGAUCGUUGCACAUCCCGGUACACUGCCGGAGGCAUUUCCUAUAGAGUCAUCAUCAUUUUGAGCUGUGAGUAAAUAAAAGUGUGAUGAUCAUCAUUAUUAGAGCAUUGUCCCAUGUGAGAAAAAAAAAGAGGCCAAAGAGCCCAAAAAUAUAAAAAAAAGAGAAAAAAAAGAGGCCUAAGAGCCCAAUUGAAAAAAAGAGAGAAAAGGAGAGAAGGGACAAUGCUACUAUCUUUUUCCACACUUGUGCUCCAUAAUAGCACCAUGUUCUUCAUGAUUUAGAGCUUCUUGCUUUGUCACUACCAUAUGCUAGUAGGAAUCUUCAUUAUAUAACUUGGCUUGUAUAUUCUAAUGAUGGGUUCCUCAAAAUUGCCCUAGGUCUUCGUGAGCAAGCAAGUUGGAUGCACACCCACUAGUUUUCCUUUUGAGCUUUCACAUACUUAUAGCUCUAGUGCAUCUCUUGUAUGGAAAUCCCUACUCAUUCACAUUGAUAUCUAUUAAUGGGCAUCUCCAUAGACUUUUGAUACGCUGAGUCAAUGUGACCAUCUCCUCCUUUUUGUCUCACAACCACCACCACACUCGAUUCCACUUGUAGUGCUAUAUCCAUGGCUCAUGCUCAUGUAUUGCGUGAUAGUUAUAAAAAGUUUGAGAAAGUAAGAGUGUGAAAACAAUUACUUGGCCAAUAUCGGGGUUGUGCAUGAUUUACAUUAGUUGUGUGAGGAUGAUGGAGCAUAGCCAAACUAUAUGAUUUUGUAGGGAUAACUUUCUUUGGCCUUCUUAUUUUGAAAGUUCAUGAUUACUUUGCUAGUUUGCUUGAAGUAUUAUUGUUUUCAUGUCAAUAGCAAACUAUUGUUUUGAAUCUUACGGAUCUGAACAUUCAUGUCACGUGAAAGAAGUUGCAAAGGACAACUAUGCUAGGUAGCAUUCCACAUCAAAAAUUCAUUCUUUAUCACUUCCCUACUCGAGGACGAGCGGGAGUUAAGCUUGGGGAUGCUUGAUACGUCUCCAACGUAUCUAUAAUUUUUUAUUGUUUCAUGCUAUUAUCUUGUUAGACUUUGGAUGUUUUGCAUGCCUUUUAUACAUUUUUUGGGACUAACUUAUUAACCCAGUGCCAACUGCCAGUUCUUGUUUUUUCCAUGUUUUUAACCCCUUUCAGAGGAGAUUUUGAAACGGAGUCCAAACGAAAUAAAAUCCCCGAAAAGAAUUUUUCCGUAACGGAUGAAGAUCAGGAGACGUGAGAGCCAAGGCAGGGGGCCCUAGGGGCCCCACAAGCCCUCACCCCGCGGCUAGGGGGAGGCCGCGGCGCACAGGUUGUGGGCCCCCUGGACGCCCUCUACCCUAGGGGUUGCGCCUAUAUAUUCCCUAAAAAUCCCAAAAAAAAGUCAGGAGAUCAUCGAAAGUACUUUUCCGCCACCGCAAGCUUCUGUCUCCACAAGAUCCCAUCUGGGGCACGUUCUGGUGCCCUGCCGGAGAGGGGAUUCGGACACGGAGGGCUUCUUCAUCAGCACCAUGGCCUCUCCAAUGAUGUGUGAGUAGUUCACCAUAGACCUACGGGUCCAUAGCUAGUAACUAGAUGGCUUCUUCUCUCUCUUGGAUCUUCAAUACAAAGUUCUCCAUGAUCUUCAUGGAGAUCUAUCCAAUGUAAUCUUCUUUUGUAGUGUGUUUGUCGAGAUCCGAUGAAUUGUGGAUUUAUGAUGAGAUUAUCUAUGAAUCUUAUUUGUGUUUCUUCUGAUAUCUCUUAUGCAUGAGUUCAUAUCCUUGUAAUUCUCUUCGAGUUGUGGGUUUUGUCUGGCCAACUAGAUCUAUGAUUCUUGCAAUGGGAGAAGUGCUUGGUUUUGGGUUCAUACUGUGUGGUGAGCUCACACAGGGACAGAAGGGGUAGGAAGGCACGCAUCAUGUUGUUGCCAUCAAGGGUAAAAAGAUGGGGUUUUCAUCAUUGGUUUGAGAUUAUCCCUCUACAUCAUGUCAUCUUGCUUAAGGCGUUACUCUGCUCGUCAUGAACUCAAUACACUAGAUGCAUGCAGGAUAGCGGUCGAUGUGUGGAGUAAUAGUAGUAGAUGCAGAAAGUAUCAGUCUACUUGUCUCGGAUGGGACGCCUAUAUGUAUGAUCACUGCCUUAGAUAUCGUCAUGACUUUGCACGGUUCUAUCAAUUGCUCGACAGUAAUUUGUUCACCCACCAUGAUAUUUGCUAUUUCGAGAGAAGCCUCUAGUGAACACUAUGGGCCCCGGGUCUACUCCACACCAUAUUUUCAGCCUUACACUUUUUACUUCGUUGCACUUUCCGCCUUCAGAUCUCACUUUGCAAACAAUCUUGAAGGGAUUGACAACCCCUUUGAAGCGUUGGGUGCAAGCUUGUUUGUGUUUGCGCAGGUACUCUGGACUUGACGAGACCCUCCUCUGGAUCGAUACCUUGGUUCUCAAACUGAGGGAAAUACUUACUGCGCCUGUGCUGCAUCACCCUUUCCUCUUCAAGGGAAAAACCAACGCAAGCCCAGUCUCCGUCAACGUGUCAAUUUCUGGCGCUGUUGUCUAUUGGCGUAGCAGUCUCCUACCCAAGCUUCCCCACCCUUGCUCUUCAUUGUUGCUUGUAGUAGUGAUGGCACCUGUGAAGAGAUCCUCAACCACCGAGAAAGAGGAAGCUGUGAUGGUGGAAGUGGGCGUGCCGUAGUCGGCAAGGGGAAGACGCCGCCCCCAUACUCUUGUGGCCGUGCUCGAGGCACCUCUCAGGGUGUGCAGGCGCUCCCCACCGAUAGUUCCUACAGGCCUGAGAGACAUGGGAGGGGCUCUCUUCACGAGCGUGGGCGCAGUGGACGAGGCAGCCGAGGAUGGGGCGAGUGGUACAACGCGGGCACCCGACCUCCUAGGUCGUGAAGUCGCUCUACCAAUGCAGCACGUGAGUUCAUCGUAAGGAUGGAGGAUAGGCCUCGGACUGGCUCUAGCUCCCGGAUUCUAUUGCGGAGGAGAUGGAGGAGCAUGUGCCCCUGGGCCUGUCGCUACAGCCAGACGGCUACUGUACCAGACUUCCUGUGUGGUGAGAGAGUUCAGCUCCCUCGGCUUCAUGUUUUGGAAGCGUGGGUGGAAGUCCUUCGCCCUUGCCCAGGGCUUGCAGGAAGGGCACUGUAAUGCCCCGGACACACCCGCCGGCAGUCGUUACUCCUGGCGGGAUCUAGACUGGCCCCACAUAUUUUGUCCUCACUCAUGCGCACCCGGGAUCAACUUCCCGGUCGGUCACCCAUCCUAGAACUACUCCAAGCUGAGCACGCUUAACCUGAGAGUUCUGUUCGAAUGGGCUCCCGGAAAAGAAGGAAUUCCUUAUUGAUAUGAGUAGUCUAUCAACCCUAAUAAGCCAGGCUAUCACAUACACCACCACUCAGAGGAACCGACGUCCUCGUCGGGCCACAGGAGCGUUCCCUCUUGGUACAAACGUCUGUGUAUCCAGUCCAGUACAUGUACCAUGUCGUGUGCCACGACGGGUCACAAACGUCAUGAACAACAUGACCGCACACCUGUCCGCAAACAUCCGUGUAACCGCGAGGGUCGGCUCUGAUACCAACUUGUAAUGCCCCGGACACACCCGCCGGCGGUUGUUACUCCUGGCGGGAUCUAGACUGACCCCACAUAUCAAUACUAGUCUUUUCUGCGCACUUUGUCCUCACUCAUGCGCACCCGGGAUCAACUUCCCGGUCGGUCACCCAUCCUAGAACUACUCCAAGCUGAGCACGCUUAACCUGAGAGUUAUGUUCGAAUGGGCUCCCGGAAAAGAAGGAAUUCCUUAUUGAUAUGAGUAGUCUAUCAUCCCUAAUAAGCCAGGCUAUCACAGGCACGUCCUCCACUUCAGUUUGAUUAGGCCACCACACUCUUCAUGAAGGCUUUUGGUAAUGCGGGUGGUCUCCUGGACUGCUGCAUGAAAGGUGAUAGCAGCAGCAGUAGCAGCCCUUCCGGCAUCGAUAGAAGCGGCAGCUCUUCCUCUGGGGGGAGCGGGGACGACAACGACCUUGACUUCUCCAUGGGCGCCCAUGUCAAAGAGGAGGGCUCUAACUAGGCGCGGGUGACUCCAACAUUGGGGUCCUCGACAGUGGUGCUUCAAGAGUCCGAUCUUUCUUCUUUUGCAUUUUCUUCCCUUUCCUGUAACGCAACAUGCUAGCCCUGUGGGGGCAUGUAAAAAGGGGUUAUGUCCUUCAUGCUUCAAAUCGAAUGCUAUUUUGGGUCGAAAACAAACUUCUCCCUAGUACUCUUUGUUAAGCUUGUAUCCCCCUCCGAGGUCAUCUCGAUGCUUCAUGUUGCUAAGGCCCAGCCCCCGAGCGUGCCCACCGUUGCUGGUAUAAAGGCUCCCAAGGCACGACGCUCAGGGCCUCGCCUUCAGCGCGCCAGCAUCUCGCGCAAGGGGUUGUUACUAGUGGGGCUCGCCUCGCGAGGCCCCUUGAGGGAAGUCCUGCACAGAAAACACAUUGUUUCGAAUGUUACGCGCUUGCCCGCUUGCAUUAGGGUGUUAUGCGAGAAGUAUAGGCCCCAAGGGACUUGGUGGGGUGACGUGCUCGUGGGCAUGCUCGUGAGCCCGAACCCUGUUCUUUGGUUUCCCAUCACCGCUGGGUCAAAUGCACGCAAAGCACCGUGCCCAGCUCCCGCGACCGUGAGGGGAAACCUGUAGCUACCGAACCGAGGGCUUUCCACCCUAAGGUGGUGCACCCCCCGGGGGCAUUCUUUGUUGUAUUCUCCCCGGCUCGAUGAAUGGGGCUUCCACUAGGCGUGGACAUCGUAUGAAAAGAGAAAACCAAGAAAACUCCGUGAAAACUAGAAGACCAAGAUCUUCAUUAAAACCAGAGGCAAACUUG